rnacentral:lncRNA from 1 species
AAGAACUGGACAACAUGUCUGUUUAGCACUGCUUCCAAUACCUAUGUGGAUGAGGCCACCGAGCACAUCCACACACGCUCCCAGUUUUAGAGAGUCAAUAGGGCAUGUUGGUUGUGCUGGUGGAGGGUAUGGCACCACUGGUGGUGGUGGUGGACAUGGUGUUUCACUUGGAGGGCUUGGGGGUGUCACAGUGGGUGGAGUUGGUUGAACUGGUGGCAAAGGAACCACAGGAGGAGGGUUCACAAUGGGUGGUUUUGGCACAUAAGGUGGUGUAACGGGAACAACUGGUGGUUUAGGAACGUAAGGAGGUGUAACGGGGACAACCGGAGGUUUUGGGAUGUAAGGAGGAAUAACUGGUACAACCGGUGGUUUAGGGAUGUAGGGUGGUGUGACAACCGGUGGUUUAGGGAUGUAAGGUGGUGUGACAACCGGUGGUUUGGGGACAUAUGGGGGUGGUUUGACAACUGGGGGUAGUGGAACAUAAGGGGGAUGUGGGUGAACUGGCGGUCUAGGGUGAGGUUUUGGGACAUAGGGUGGGUGUGGAUGCACUGGUGGCUUAGGGUAGUGAGGGGGUUUUGGGACAUAGGGUGGGUGUGGAUGUACUGGUGGCUUAGGGUAGUGAGGGGGUUUUGGAACAUAGGGUGGAUUCACAUGUGGAGGUUUGGGAGAUGAGUGGGGUGGUGGACAUGGUUUGGGUGGUUUCACUAUGGGAGUGUGUUUUGGGGGCUUAGGAGAAGGAUAAGGGCAAUAAGGACAAGCAAGAACAUUGAGGAAGGUUGUGAGGUUAAGGAGAAGGAACAAUAGGACAUUAGCUAGGGCAAACUUUCCCAUGAUUCAAAGACGGUGUAGGGAAAGAGAAAGAUAAAUAUUGCAAUGAGUUUGUAAGAAUGAGGUUGUUCUUUUAUAUACGAGGAUCCAACCAUCAAACCCUAGUUUUCUUUUUCUUUUUCCUUUUCUCUUUCUCGUGAGUGUUGCUUCUGAUCACGGACAUGAGUUAUGGCAAUCAAUCAAUCUAGGUCUAAAUCACAUUCUUAGAAUUGGAAUUAAUUAUUCAUUUUUUGGGAUGAAUCAUUGACUUGAAGGACCGAAAAAUGCAUGCGAUGUAGGUGGGGCCCAGGUUGUGGCAGAACACAGAUAGAAGAAAAGAGAAACGAAAAGUGGGCCAUGGUGUUAUGGACAAAACUGCUAUUUGAAUUAGUCGAUGAAGAGGGGAAUCAAGAAAAAGCUGUGGUGAGCAAGAGGACAUUUUUGACUUGUAGUGACAAGUGGAAGUGGGGUUAUUCUGCCCGUGAUAGAAAAAAUGUUCAUACACAUCAAAGCCUUAUUAUGUAAACGUACUUUAUAAUUAGUCGUUUAACCCCUGACACUCUUGUCGCGUAAAACACCAUCUUUCUUUCAUUCGCUCCAAUAACCUCAAUAUGCAUUUAUAAUUUAUAUUAUUUUAUGUAAAUUAAAGUUAUUUCAAUAACUUUUUCAUAUUCGAACUCUGUUUGUAACAAUAAAACUACAAAUUGAGCCUAGGAUGGUAUACCUUCACUCAUUGAUCGGGAAUUUAACUAUGAUGUAAUUUUCAUAAUAGGUCAAUUAUAUAUAAAAAAUUAGAUUGAAAUAAUUUCCUGAAAAAGUAAUUAGAAUGAAUAAUAUAAAGAUCUAAAAAAAUUAGAAAUGAUAAUAAUUUAAAAAUAAUAAAACUUCAUUAUUUAAUAUUAAAUGAUUUAUAAAUAAUUUUGUUAUAAACGAAUUUUAUUAUUUUAAAAUACAUUAUCUCUUUAGAAAUUAUUUUUUUAGAGUUUUCUUCUCCUAUGCUCAUCUGUUUGAAUCAAAGGCUACCUAAGUGAUCUUAGUGGUACAACCUUCAAGUUUACUUGAUCAGUUUCUCUAAAUGAGUAAGUUAUUUUCUACUUUUUUUCUUUUGAUCAUGUUUCUGUGAGUUAUAGGUGCAUAUAGAGUUCUUUGAGCUGAUGAAGUCAUUUUAGCUCUUGUAGAGCAGAUUUGUUGAGAUUGUUAUAAGGGAAGCACUGGUUUAGCUGAACAUUAAUCUCAGAGUGCUCUGAUUUUUUAUGAUGACAACACAUUAUUAAUAACACAUGUAUUGUUAUGCGUUACAUGUUUAAUUCUUUAUUGGGAAUGAUAUCUUAAUGAACAUUUGUGUUGCUUCUGAUAUAUGUAUGCAUAUUCACUGAUUUGAUACUUGAUAAAUCUUUUGUGUUUGCAUUACAUAUGUUUAAGAAAAGAAAACUACAUUCACUUUGAUGAACUUAUACUUGAGGUAAAACUAUAAGUUUUAAGUCGAUUUCAUUAUGCAGUAAGUCGAUUAAAAUUUGGGACUUUGCACAAAUUUUAAAAAACAAUGUUGUGUGUGAUUUUGCAUUGAAAAGUAUUUCAAACUGAGUUGAAGUGUCUAAGUCGACUACAUGCACAACGAAUUCUACUUAGUUAUUUGAUUUGAAAUUCUAUUAAUGCUUGUGUGUUGUAACUACUAUAUUUCAACUCUAUGUUAAAGCAUUAAUUGAAAGUCAACUGAAUUAAAUGCGAAAUCAAUUUGGUUGUUAUGACUGCUGCUAAUUGUUUUAACUAUUAUAACUGUCUAAUGACAAUCAACUUCAUUAUUAGCAAAAUCGACUACAGGAGCGUCUGAUUUAUAGACGUGACUCAAUUGAUCACAUACGACUUUGGAUAUUCUAACACUUUCAUUUGAUUUUCAGAUUGUGAUCUCUAAGUAAAGGCUCUAAGAACUCAUCAAGAAGACGGUAGAGAUCUUUCUUGCAAGUGUUUCUUAAGGAGGAAGUGUAUUGCAUGUACUGUUUGAUCAAGAUCUACACAGUUGGUGUCAUCAUACUAAUCAAGUUUUCUAUCAAUCUUUGGAAAGAUUGUUGUUGUCCUGUUGGGAUUACAAGAGGUGGACUCGUGGAGUUCUGACACUUUGAGGAUUGUUCAAAGUGAGUUGAAGAUUGCAGAAGAGGGGAUAUCUUGCUGCAUAUCUUUGUGUUGGCUGCCUAUACUUUUAGUUAGAGGGUUAGAGAGAUUGUCUAUAUUUUUGACGUGGAGGUCUCUAUAGAAAUCUUGCUGUAAAAACCUUGACUAAUAUAUUGCAUUGGCUUCCUGGUUGUGAAAGGACACUAGAUGUAGGCAUUAAGGCCGAACCAGUAUAAAAACUCUGUGUUUGAUUUCUCUUUCCCUACACUUUUACAUUAAGUCGACUUUACAGUUUACGUAGUCAACUUUAUAUUUUCGCUGCAUGUUGGGGCAAAUCGACAAGUGUACCGAGUCGCACAAGUAAUAUAAAAUGGUAAGACGAAGUAUCAUAUCCUAGAGGACUCUCGACGCUGAACAGUUGUGUGAAAGCAUGAUUAAUUAAGACUUAAAAAAUAAAAAGAGAUAAUUGGGUUUGGCACAAAUAAAGCAAAAUAAAAUUGAUCAGUGGCAAAAAAGCACAGAGAUGAACGAAGAUUGAUUAAUAUGAGAUGGGUAUGUUGUUGGGGUUAGAUUUCACCAAGUUCCCUCUCAUGUAUAUAAGAAUUCUUCUUUAUGCAUUAAUGCCAACGUCCCUCACUAAAUCACUUAAACCCGAUCCCUUAGUAAAUAAGUCUGUCCCUAAUUACCAUUUCAUACAAUUCCUAACAUUCGUGGUAAAAAGAUGUGAAGAUCAAGAGGUUAAGACGACUAAGACUCAUACCCUCAUUCUUGAGCAAUAUAAUCCUUAGGAGUAAUUCAACAAGAACCUGAAUUAAAAGGAACCUCUUGACACUCAUGCAAUUCAUAGAUAACGCUAUUGUAUAAGCAAGAAUAAAAACAGAUGAAUUAAUCUAACAAUUAAUGAAAAAGCAUAUGAAAUUAAGAAUCAAUUCAAAUACAUGAGAGUUCACAAGGUUACAUCAUUCCCCAACAACAAAUAGAAAUUAGUUCCNUAUAGACAUGGGGGGAACUUUAUAAACAAUGGAAGAAACAAAGAGAAUGAAAGACUAAGAAUUGUCUAAUAGUGCAUGGCUAUACUCUUCUCUGUCAGGGAUGCAAAGCCUAGAGCCCCAGGGUCCUUUAAAUAGUGUCAAACGUGUCCCAGAGUGCAGCUCGGUCCAAAAGAAUCAAAACAGAGCUGAAACAGGGUCCGAUCCAUGUGAAAUCACGCCCAAGCGUCGCAGGGAGGACGCCCGGGCGAGAAUUGAAGCUCAUGUAAGACCUGGGCGUCAAAUUUGGACGCCCAAGCUACGAAGGUCCACCGCCCGGGUGUCGGGUGCCACCGCUCGGGCGACAAGCGUCGUUCCUGGUUGCUUGGUUUUCGCUCCUGGACGCUCGAGCUUCGCGUUUUCCCUCCUUCUGGAGUCUUUUUAGCCUCUUCUGAGCUCUAUCUUCUUGUUUUUUCACCUCUUCUUCUAGUAUUAUCUCAAUCUUUGCCAAAACAUGGGGAAUUUGUUAGAAAACUAUUGAAAUCAACCUCAACUCUCUUAUUCACACAUUUUAUUGAAAACACAUGAGUCCAAGCAAGUUUCUAAGUGAAAAGGGUGCUUUUAGUAUCAAAAUCACAUAACAAAUAACAGUGUUUUAAACCGUUAUCACAACCCCAAACUUAGAACUUUGCUUGUCCUCAAGCAAACAACUGUAACUCAGCUUUUCAGAACAAUCACAACAAUGACUCAACCUUUUUCAAAAACUUUUUCAAGACAAGGAAUUACUUUUAUCAAUUCAACAUGAAGGUCUCAGUCAAGAUGUGUAGAAUUCAAUCAAAAUUAAUGUGAUGCUCAGGUGCUAUCCUUAAGAAUGAUCAGUCAACCAAGCAAAGAUGCAAUAAAAAAUUCAGAGAACUAUUCCUCACUAGGUUCUUUUCUCACUUUUUCUUUUCUUUUCUUUUUGCCUUUGCUUUACAAUUGCUUUUUCUUUUGAUUGCUCACUGUCUAGAGAAGUGGGUUGUUACAUGGCAACUCCAAACUUGAACCUUUAUCAGUACCUCAUCAAAUGUUCUCAACUUAAUUCAAGGUAAAGAUAUUUCAAAAAGGUUAUUCAAGAUAUGCAUAAGGCUCAAGGUUCAAAGGUUAGAACAAAUUGUUCUCUUUUCAGUGGGCAAAAAUUAUUUGUAGGCUAAAAGAAUAAGGGAUAACAAUGUUGAGAUUGUUGACAACACAAACUCUAUAUCAAACUGGUUUUUGAUGAUGACAACACACUGCUUAAUAACAGUACAUAUGUUCCAGUGUUACANNNNNNNNNNNNNNNNNNNNNNNNNNNNNNNNNNNNNNNNNNNNNNNNNNNNNNNNNNNNNNNNNNNNNNNNNNNNNNNNNNNNNNNNNNNNNNNNNNNNNNNNNNNNNNNNNNNNNNNNNNNNNNNNNNNNNNNNNNNNNNNNNNNNNNNNNNNNNNNNNNNNNNNNNNNNNNNNNNNNNNNNNNNNNNNNNNNNNNNNNNNNNNNNNNNNNNNNNNNNNNNNNNNNNNNNNNNNNNNNNNNNNNNNNNNNNNNNNNNNNNNNNNNNNNAGUGAUUUUUCAUGUGUCAGUCGACAGUGUGAAACACUCAUUCGACUGUAUUGCUGUUAAUUUUGGAAUUCUGUUAUGCCUACUUGCUCCAACGACUAUAUUUUCAAAAGUUAGUUAGGAUUGACUAACUGGGUCAACUGUCAUGAAUGAGCAUUGAUUUGGUUGACUGAGGAGCCUUUAUGUUGACCGUCUGUUAUAACUGUUUUAAUAUAGUUGACUAGAUUAGUAGGCUAUUUGAUUGAGAAUGACAGGAAAACUAUAAGUAGAACAGAACACGAUUUGUUCUGAUACUUUUGUGAUCUAACUUUUUCAUUGUCCUGUUUCAAAGAAAUUUCUCAGUUUAGGAAGCUCCAAGAAUUCUCCAAGAAGACGGUGAUGAUCUUUCUUGAGAGAGAUUCAGAUUGAGGAGUCAAUUGCGCAUACUGUGAUGGGCUUGGCAUCCUGUGAAAAGUGCUGGUGACACGUUGAGGAUUGUUCAGCGUGGGUUCAGAUUGCAGAAGAGGGGAUUCUUGCUGCAAUUCUGGUUUUGUGUGUGUAGCUAUAUUUGGUUUUGGGUUAGAGAAGAGAUUUAUAUUUUUGCGUGGUGCUUCUAUAAAUUCCUUGUUGUAAAAACCGCAACCAUUAUAGUUCAUUUGCUUCCAAGGUUGGAAGGACACCGGAUGUAGGCAUUGUUGGCCAAACCAGUAUAAAAACCAGUGUUUAAUUUUCUCUUCCCUACACUCUUUAUUUCAGUCGACUAUAUCUGUUUAGGAGUCAACUACGUUUUUCCACUACACUGAAAUUUUUCAUUACUUGCAUUUCAAGGAAAGAUCAAAAGCUUUGAAUUUUUAUACCAAGAUUGCGAAAAGAUUUUGUUUUUGAACUAACACCAAUUCACCCCCCCCUUCUUGGUGUAAAACGAAGCCAACAUGUUUCCUAACAAUUGGCACUAGAGCUAGUUUUCAUAAAAUAUUUGAAAAUUCAGCCGACUUUGUUUCUAUUCUAUUCGACUGUAAAACUUGGGGAUGACUUCAAAUUUUCAAACUUUUGGUGAAGGUGCUUCAACAAAUAGACCACCUUUGUUUGCUGGUGAAAACUAUCCUUUUUGGAAAAUUCGCAUGCAGAUCUUUCUUGAAUCGCAAGAUAAGGGAAUUUUGGAUGCCACUUUAAAUGGUCCAUAUGUGCCUACAAAAACUGUUGAUAGUGAAACUCUUUUAAAACCUUUUACUGAGUGGACUGCUGAUGAAAAUAGAAAAGCUCAGUAUCUUGUUAAAGUUAGAAAUAUUAUUGCCUCUGCACUAACAAUUGAUGAAUUUUUCAGGAUAUCCCAAUGCAAGACUGCAAAAGAAAAUGUGGGAUGUUCUAGAGGUAACACAUGAAGGCACGGAUGAAAUCAAGAGAGCCAGGAAGAAUUCAUUGAUACAAGAAUGUGAGUUGUUUAGAAUGAAAGCUGGUGAGAACAUCUAUGAUGUCCAGAAAUGGUUCAAUCAUAUUGUAAACCACCUGAUGGCUCUUGGCAAAGCCUUUGAUAAAGAAGAGAUCAACAUCAAGAUUUUGAAAAGUCUGAACAAGAAUUGGCAACCAAAAGUCACUACAAUCUCUGAAUCCAAAGAUCUUAUAACUAUGAAUAUGGCUACCCUUUUUGGCAAGCUACGUGAACAUGAGUUAGAACUUGGUAGACUGAAGGAUGAAGAGGAGAUUGAAGAAAAGAAGUCCAUUGCUCUGAAGGCCACAAGUAAUAAUAUCACAAAAGCAGUGAUGGACGACAAAGAGCUGAUGACCUUGAUGGUAAGAAAAUUUAGUCGACUUAUGCAAAAUGAUAGUCAACUAUUUAACCAUGCAGGUCAAAGCAAGAAAAGCUUCAGCAUAAACACUUUCCAGUGCUAUGAAUGUGGUAAAGAAGGUCACAUCAAGCCUGACUGUCCCGAUUUACAGCCAAAGCAGAAAAGGAAGAAAAGAUUUCCUCAAGGAAGAAAUAUGAGAAAAAAAGGAGCCUACAUUGCUUGGGAGAAUUCUGAAUCUGAAAGCUCAAGUGAAGAGGAUUCUGACCAAGAGGAAAAAUCCAAUAUAUGUCACAUGGCUGGAACUGUAAAGACUGAGUAUGACAGUGAUGAAGAAUUUGAGAAGCUGCCUAUAGAAGAAAAGUAUCAACAGUUGAUUGAGACAUUCAGGGAAUUACAUGCUGAAGCAAUGCGACUGGAGUAUAAGGUUAAUCGACUGAACUCUGAGAAAAGAGAUUAUGAAUAUAGGAUUAAUAACCUUGUUACUGAAAAUGAAAGAUUAGAAAAGAAUUGGAUAUAGCCUUGUCAUCUGCUAGGAAUGUUGAAAUUAAAACUGUUACUGUUGAGGAAGCUUUGUAAAAUUGUCUUAUGCAUGUUGAAAAGAUUGAUUACUUGACUAGCAAGCUAGCUAAGUUUGCUCAAGCUAAUGACAAUUUAGAUGCUGUAUGGAAUUUCUCUAGUAGAAUUAAUAACAGGCAAGAAAUUGGAUUUAAAGGUUACUCUAACAGAACUAAUGCUAGAAAGCUUAAUGUUUUGAGAAAACUUGCUAGAAAUGCAUGUUUUUAUUGCAGAUGAGUUGGUCACACUGUUAGAAAUUGUUAUUAUAGACAUGUUGCUGUUCCUCAAGGAUUAUGUGUUUGGAUACCAAAGGAACAUGUGACAAGAACUGACAAUCAAGGACCCAAAGUUAAAUGGGUACCAGCAACCAAAACUUAACUAUUUUACAAGUUAUGCAGCUGAUACAGAACUGCUUUCAAGGAUGAAUUAACCGUGGAUUUUAUCAAACACCUUGAAUGUCUACAACUGGUAAUUUUGUAUCUAUCUGCUGCAUCAUGCAUACAUUGAUUGAAUGUUGUUGUAUGAUUGUUUGCAUCGUGUGAUUAAUUGUUUGAUUGAUUGAAUUUGUUUGAAAUGUUUAUAUGAGUCCCAGUUGACUCCCAUAUUAAUUCAAUCGACUUUGUUAUUUGUACAUUUGAAAAACACUAUUUAGUUUGAAAUUUAAAAAUUCCAUUUUGGUGAGAAAGAAAAAAUUUGGGGUUCCCUCCAAUUUGAUAUUCAAUAAAGAUAUGUUAAAAUCUUGGCAAUCAUAAAUCACUGCAUUCAACCUCAUUGAUCUUGUACUCUACUAUCCUCAUUUCAUCUGAAAGGGUCAUCAUUCAUCCUCAAACCUCAAUGUCUUUCGGAUCCACACCCAGGAGAAGGGUUAAGUCCAUGGCCGCUAGAUGCUCCAGAAGAGUGUAUGAUUUGAAUGGGUGGAUAAGCGAUGAUGAUGAUCAAUCAAAGUUUCUUGAUUGCUUGAAGAGGAGAACUCUUGUGAUACACAAAUUUCUUAAGCUAAAGUUAUUUAAGAAUGAAGAAUUUCGGUUUCAGAAGUGGAUUAAGAAUAAGGGGUUGAAGCAUUUUGUUGAAAUGGCAAGUCCGUGGUACCCAGACUUGGUAAAAGUCUUCUACUGCAAUCUAAAGAUUGUUGAUGACAUUCUCUGCUCUCGCGUUAAAGGAAUUGACAUCAAACUAACUGAUGAUGUCUGGAACAAGGUUAAUGGAUUGAGAAUCAGUGGUAAUAAAUGUCAUCUUGGAAUAAAUGGUUUUAACAAGCUUGAUGAAUAUCAACUGUGCCUGAGAAAUGCAGAUGAUCUUCAGGUAAACUCUAACUAUAAAACUGGUGGCAUGAAGAAAGACGAGAGAAUGACUAUCUAUACCAUUGCCUACAUUCUCAUGGCAAGGGGAGGAAAUUAUGCCCAAGCAACCGCUGAAGAUUUGAUGCUAUUGAAAGCUUUAAAGGAAAAUAUUCAGGUGGACUGGCCCGCGGCAAUUUCUGAUAAUAUGCUAAAAGUUACUAAAUCCAAAUUAGGGAAGCUACCAUACUGCAUCUUCAUUUCGAAAAUACUGAUUUACUGCGGAGUGGAAUGCAUUGGUGAAUCCAGUGAGCAAUAUCAUAACUCAAGCCUUGUGGACAAAACUGUUCUUCAUCUGAUGCACAUGGAGAAAACAUUCGAAGGCUGGAAAUACAAAGAUGAAAUCUGUAAUGGUGCACCAUCAACCUCUUAAGGAAAUAAAUACAGAGGAAAGAAUGAAUUUGAAAGGAUUGUUCUGAAGGAAUUGGCUGAGAUCAAGAGAUGGAUUAGUGAACAGAAAAACAACAGCCAAGAACAUGAGAACUCUGAAAAUAUUGGCUCCUCUGAAAGGUCAUCUCAAAGAAGUAAUGAUGACAGUGAAGAGACAAGAUCUGAGGAAAAUGCUAGUGAUAUGGUUCUUAAGACCUUCAUUAACUAGAAGAGAAAGAAAAACUAAAAGUCUUGUCCUAGUCUAAGUUUCAUUUUGUAAAAUGGCAUAAAAAGCCAUCUUUUGUUGCUUUUUAAUGUUUUGCUUGUGUUUCCUUGACCUGUUCUAUCAAUGUAAUAUCUUUCUAUCAAGGAAAUAAUACUAGAAGUUUGAAUCAAUCCUGUUACUUAACAAUUCACUUAAACUGUCAAAUAAAAUCUGAUACUCUAUUUGAUUGAUUCGACUGUGCUAUGACUGAAGUCAACUGUGCUAUAACUGUCAUGCAUUUUUAUAAAUUGACUUCUAUUAUGAUUUGAUUCUAUUCUUGCAUAACCAUUAUACUUGAUCUAGAAGAGGUUUUCUAAAAGGUUUUUGUAGGAAGAACAUUGCUUUGAACAUAUACAAUUGGGAUUCAACAUUUGGAAAAGCAAUGCAUUCGAUUAAUGAGUUAAAGCAUUCGACUGCGUCUAAACUAGGUUAAAAAUUCCAAUUUUGGAAUUUUCUUUUAUCCUUACUGACUACUUUAAUCAUUAGUAUACUAAUAUUAUCUCUGUUCUUUACAUGAUUUUAUAUCAAAAUUGAGAAAAUAUUGUGAGAUUGUUGAUAUUUGCGUCAUUGCUUAUAUAUGUGAUUGAAUUGUGUAUCAAUGAUACAAAUCUGUGCUUAAACUGGUGAUAGACUAGCGAUAUUCUGCAUUGUGCAACAAACUGUUUUUGAAAUUCAUGCAUAAUGACAGGGGGAGUAUCACUUCUUUACACAUUGUUUCAUCACACACCUACAUUUCCGAGGGGAGUUUACAUAUGCCAUUGUGAUGAACUUGUGAUUUAGGGAGCAUCAUUAUCUUUUUGAUACUGCAUAUUUGUUUGAUGCUUCUCUGCUUUUAAAACUGCAUAAAUAUCAAGCAUUCCUUUUUCGUUAAUGCACAAAGGGGGAGAGUUUUAAUGAGUGUAUGAGAGCAAGUCUAUAUGGGGAGAAUUGCUAUAUCAUACUUUAUUUGCUUGAUGAUAUUUUUGCUGUAUAUGGAAAAUAAAUGAAUUGUUUGUAUUAAUUUUGCUAUCUGUUUUACUCUAUCAUAUGCAGCACUGUGCAAACAUGGUUGAGUUAUUAAUCAUGGUUGUGCAUCAUCAAAAAACGGGGAGAUUGUUGAGAUUGUUGACAACACAAACUCUAUAUCAAACUGGUUUUUGAUNNNNNNNNNNNNNNNNNNNNNNNNNNNNNNNNNNNNNNNNNNNNNNNNNNNNNNNNNNNNNNNNNNNNNNNNNNNNNNNNNNNNNNNNNNNNNNNNNNNNNNNNNNNNNNNNNNNNNNNNNNNNNNNNNNNNNNNNNNNNNNNNNNNNNNNNNNNNNNNNNNNNNNNNNNNNNNNNNNNNNNNNNNNNNNNNNNNNNNNNNNNNNNNNNNNNNNNNNNNNNNNNNNNNNNNNNNNNNNNNNNNNNNNNNNNNNNNNNNNNNNNNNNNNNNNNNNNNNNNNNNNNNNNNNNNNNNNNNNNNNNNNNNNNNNNNNNNNNNNNNNNNNNNNNNNNNNNNNNNNNNNNNNNNNNNNNNNNNNNNNNNNNNNNNNNNNNNNNNNNNNNNNNNNNNNNNNNNNNNNNNNNNNNNNNNNNNNNNNNNNNNNNNNNNNNNNNNNNNNNNNNNNNNNNNNNNNNNNNNNAGUGAUUUUUCAUGUGUCAGUCGACAGUGUGAAACACUCAUUCGACUGUAUUGCUGUUAAUUUUGGAAUUCUGUUAUGCCUACUUGCUCCAACGAUUAUAUUUUCAAAAGUUAGUUAGGAUUGACUAACUGGGUCAACUGUCAUGAAUAAGCAUUGAUUUGGUUGACUGAGGAGCCUUUAUGUUGACUGUAUGUUAUAACUAUUUUAAUACAGUCGACUGGAUUAGUAGGCUAUUCGACUGAGAAUUACAGGAAAACUAUAAAUAGAACAGAACACGAUUUGUUCUGAGACUUUUGUGAUCUAACUUUUUCAUUGUCCUGUUUCAGAGAAAAUUCUCAGUUUAGGAAGCUCCAAGAAUUCUCCAAGAAGACGGUGGUGAUGUUUCUUGAGAGAGAUUAAGAUUGAGGAGUCAAUUGUGCAUACUAUUUGAUCAACAUCUGCACAAAGAAGGUGCUUUAUGUUUGAUCUUGAUGGCUUGGCAUCCUGUGAAAACUGCUGUAUUUGACUGAAGGCUUGGCAACCUGUGAAGUGUGUUGUGAUAGGCUUGGCAACCUGUGAAGCGUGUUGUGGCUUAGCAUCUUGUGAAGAGUGCUGGUGACACGUUGAGGAUUGUUCAGCGUGGGUUCAGAUUGCAGAAGAGGGGAUUCUUGCUGCAAUUCUAGUUUUGUGUGUGCAACUAUAUUUGGUUUUGGGUUAGAGAGGAGAUUUAUAUUUUUGCGUGGUGCUUCUAUAAAUUCCUUGUUGUAAAAACCACAACUAUUAUAGUGCAUUUGCUUCCAAGGAAGGAAGGACAUUGGAUGUAGGCAUUGUUGGCCGAACCAGUAUAAAAACCAGUGUUUGAUUUUCUCUUCCCUGCACUCUUUAUUUCAGUCGACUACUGUUUAGCGGUCAACUACGUUUUUUCCCUGCACUGAAAUUUUUCAUUACUUGCAUUUCAAGGAAAGAUCAAAAGCUUUGAAUUUUCAUACCAAGAUUGCGAAAAGAUUUUGUUUUUGAACUAACACCAAUUCCCCCCCCCCUCUUGGUGUAAAACGAAGCCAACCUGUUUCCUAACAAACAAAAGAUGGCCUUGAUCAUACGAAACCUGUAAGCAAGUAGUUUAAUCGUAGAAAAUUUGGGCAAAAUCAUUCAUGCUUCCAAAGUAACAACAAUUAUUUAAAAACAACUCUGAAGCUCAAAACUCACAUAGGUAAACUCAUAAAUUCUCAAAUUUAGAAAAACAUCCUGCUCAUUAUUUUAAUUAGACUUUAUUUUAAGCACCUGUCUCACAAAUUGGGAUUUAUCAUCAUGCAUCAUCUCAACCUCAAUCAAGUACUAGAAUCUCAUAAAGCAAAACUUAUCACAUAAAAUAGAGCAUGGUUGAAUCAAAGCUGUUCAGUUCAUUCAAGUAGAGCACAAUAAAAAUAGAAUGAAAUAAAAACACACAUUAAAGCAAAAAACAAAAAUUAGAAGUAAAAGUUCAGAGCACUGGGUUGCCUCCCAACAAGCACUUCUUUAUCGUCACUAGCUUGACCCAAUAAGCGCAUGUCACAUAUUUUAUUUUGGUGUCAUCUUUUCCUUCAACACACCAAUUGGUCUUCAGCAUUUUCCUGUUCACCUUCUUGGUUCUCGUAGAAGUAGGAGAUUCAAUCUCUAUCAACCCAUCAACUCUGAGUUUUUUUUAUUGAACUGUACAGGCAAGCCUGGUCUCAGUCUUCAUGGUCCGUUGGAGGCUUUUGGUGAACAUCUCCUUUGCUAUCUUUCUUCGCUUCAUUCACCUGUGACAGGAAACACUUUUUACCUUUCUUUUUUGAUUUGGUGGCUCUGGUACCAAUCCUGGGAUGCAUCUUUAAAUGCGGCUUUGGGACUAGUUUUCUUUACUUGAGUUUGCCGCCUAGUAUUGCAGGCAUUGAAGAUCACCUCCUCUUCUUGGUCCUUGAGAGCUAUAGUACCCUCAUCAAUAUUGAUGAUUACUUUGAUUGUCUUCAUGAACAGUCUUCUAAGAAUAAUAGGGAUAUCUGCAUUUUCCUCCAUCUCUAAUGCCACAAAGUCCACCAGAAACCUCAAGUUGGCGAUUUGCACCAUGACAUCUUCUACCACACCAUAGGGUCUUUUAGGGGAUCCAUCUGCCAUGAGGAGAGACAUCCUUGCCGGCUUAACUUUUAAGUCACCAAUCUUUUUGAGAACAGUUAAGUGCAUCAAAUUGAUACUGGACCCCAAAUCAAUUAAGACUUUCCCUAUUUUGUGGUUUCCAAUGUUGCAGGAAAUAGUAAAACUUCCUAGGUCUUCUACCUUUUGAGGAAGUGCCUUAUGCAAGAUCACACUGCAAUUCCCUUAUAUUUUAGUUGUCUCUACUUUUAAAUUUUUCUUUUUCUUGAGGAGCUUCUCUAAAAAUUCUUUAUAUUCAGGGAUCUGUUGUAGAGUCACUUUCACAGGAAUUUCUAUCCCCCAUUCUUUGGAGAUUUCUUCAAAACACCCUGCCUCCAUCUCUCUGGUGGCAUGUUCCUUAGGGUGGCAGACAUUUUUCUCACUUUUUUUAUUUUUUUCUUUUUCUUCUUUUUUUCUCUCAACCUCUUCUUUUUUAAUCUCACUUUUUUCUUCACUCUCAAUUUUUUUCUCUUUCUCAAUUUUUUUUGUCUCUUCUCUUUUUCCUCACUUUCUUUUUCUUCUCCCUCUUUUUCUCUCUCAUUUUCCAUGCUUGCUAUAGCCUUACAUUCCUCUUUGGGGGUUAACUUCAGUAUUAGCCCCAAAAUCUUUGAAAGGCAUCUCUUUAAGUUGUUGGGCUAUUUGGCCAACCUGUAUCUCCAAGUUUUUGAUGGCAACAUCUGUGCUCUUUUGUGUGGACAAUGUUGCCUGCAUGAAUUGUUGGAGGGUUUCUUCAAGCUUUCUGGUUCUAUCAGGCAAAAAGGGUUGUUGUUGCCAUUGUUGUUGCUGUUGUGGUGGUCUAUUGAAUUUCCCACCAAUUUGCUCAAGUGGACCCUGUCCAUUGCUUAGGUGAGAUCUCCACCCUUGAUUGUAAUUAUUGGGACAGAACUGGUUCUGGUUGCCCAUGUAGUUAACUUCUUCCUUAAGAUUCUCAGACACUGCAAAUUGACCAUUAAUAUGGUCACCACCACAUAACUCAGAAAGCUGUUGUUGAAUAUGUGCUACGUUCUUAUGUUCCUUUUGUGGUUGCAUCACCUUCUUAGUCAGGAUCUCCAAUUGUUGAGUGAUGAUCUUAUUUUGGGCGAGCAAGGCAUCAGAAGGCUGUAAUGGAAAAACUCCUUUAGGUUGAGCAGGAGCUCCUCUCUCACUGUGCAUCUCAUUGUCAUUGGCAGCCAUGUUCGCAAUUAAUUCAUAGGCCUCAUCAGGGGUCUUGCAUUUGAUAUUGCCUCCAGCUGAGGCAUCCAACAUCAAAUUAGUUUGUGAUUCAAGGCCUCCAAGGAAAAGAAUGACUACCGUUCCUUCAUCAAUACCAUGGGUAAGCGUCUUUCUUAGUAAGCUUUUGUAUCUAUCCCAUGCCUGUCCCAAGGUUUCCUUCAUGCCUUGUCUGAAAGAAGAGAUCUCCUACUUCCCUUUGUUAGUCUUUGAUUGUGGGAAGUAUUUGUUGAGGAACUUUGUAACCACAUCUUCCCACUGAGUGAAACUGUUUUCAAGAAAAGAGUUCAACCAUAAUUUAGCAUUACCUCCAAGAGAAAAGGGGAAUAGGCUCAGUUUUAUAGCCUCAUUUGGUACCCCAUUUAUCUUUAUAGUGUUGCAGAUCUCAUUGAAGGUGGUCAAGUGCUCAUAUGGACUUUCAUGGGACAGUCCAUUGAAUUGGUUGCUCUUCACAAGGUGGAUCAAGGUAGGCUUCACCUACAUAUUUGUAGCAUUGACCCUUGGCUUUGUAGUGCUGUUAAAAUGAUGAGGGCCAACAAUUGUGGUAUAAUAUGCCAAGGUGCGCUUGCUAGCAUUGGUCUCCGCACCUCCUUCACCAGUUUGGGAAGCCAUUGAAUUUUUCUCUAGAGAAGGUUCUCUAGAUAAUCUAUUUCUCUUGGCCUCCUACUGGUCUCAAGCCCUUCAAGAAGAGGCUCAGGAUUUUUAUUGCUUCUAGUUCUCACACAAUCCUGCAUAAACAAAACACAAAACCACAGAAAAUAUUGUUAGCACAAAAAUAAAAAUAGAAAUGAGGGAUUGAAAAAUAAAAAUCAAAAAUAAAAAUGGAAAAAUAAAAAUGAGAAAAUAAAAUAAAGUCAAAAUUAAUCAAGGAUCACACAAAUAGAAUAGCUUAAACUGUGAGUCCCCGGCAACGGCGCCAAAAACUUUUUGGGGCAAAUUGACAAGUGUAUCGAGUUGCACAAGUAAUAUAAAAUGGUAAGACCAAGUAUCGUAUCCCAGAGGACUCUCGAUGAUGAGCAAUUGUGUGAAAACAAGAUUAAUUAAGAUUUAAAAAAUAAAAAGAGAUAAUUGGGUUUGGCACAAAUAAAGCAAAAUAAAAUUGAUCAGUGGAAAAAGAGCACAUAGAUGAACGAAGAUUGAUUAAUUUGAGAUGGGUAUGUCGUUGGGGUUAGAUUUCACUAAGUCCCCUCUCAUGUAAAUUCUUCUUUAUGCAUUAAUGCCAACGUCCCUCACUAAAUCACUUAAACCCGAUCCCUCGGUAAAUAAGCCUAUCCCUAAUUACCAGUUCAUACAAUUCCUAGCAUUCCUGGUAAAAGGAUGUGAAGAUCAAGAGGUUAAGACGAUUAAGACUUAUACCCUCAUUAUUGAUCAAUAUAACCCUUAAAAGUAAUUCAACAAGAACCUAAAUUGAAAUGAACCUCCCGACACUCAUGCAAUUCAUAGAUAAUGCUAUUGUAUAAGUAAGAAUAAAAACAGAUGAAUUACUCUAACAAUUAAUGAAAAAGCAUAUGAAAUUAAGAAUCAAUUCAAAUACAUGAGAGUUCACAAGGUUACAUCAUUCCCCAACAACAAAUAGAAAUUAGUUCCCCACAGGCAUAGGGGAACUCUAUGAACAAUGUAAGAAAGAAAGAGAACGGAAGACUAAGAAUUGGCUAACAACCAUUUAACAACCAUUUUUGGAUAUGUCAAAAAUUUAACAACCACAUAACAAAACAAGUAUCUACUUAGAAACUACAGCUUACUCCCUGAUAACGGUUGAUUUUACCAUUCUCUGUAACUUAAUUUUGAUACUAAAUGAAGCCUUUUUGACUUAGAAACUUGCUUAAAUCCCUUGUUUUUGGUUAAGUUAUGAAUAAAGAUAGUUGAGGUUAUACUUUAUGAUUUUAUCACUAAUUCCCUUGAUUUUGUAGGAAAUUUGGAUGAUUUGGAAGACGAGUUGAAGUAUCAAGGAGUUGGAACUCAGAUAGGACUGAAAAAGCAUCAGAAAGGAAGAUCGUAGGACGCCUGAGCGCCAUCAACGCCAAAGGCUCGCAUUGACGCCUGACUGCCCCUUUCUAAAGGCACUCAACGCUAAAGACUCGCAGUCACGCCUGGGUGCCCUUUCUUGGGCGUUGAGUAUGAACUCCAGUGUGCUGCAUCACGCAUGGGUGCCCUUCUAGGGGCGUUGGGUGCCAGUUUCUCGCAAUAUUGGAUGCAGUAGCAAUCCUUUUCGGUUUUUUGGGUUUAUCUUUCAUUCUUUUUCCAUUGUACAUCUAGUUUCACCAUAGCAAUAGGGAACUAAUUUCUAUUUGUUGUUGGGGGAUGAUGUAACCUUGUGAACUCUCAUGUAUUUGAAUUGAUUUUAAUUGGUAUAUGCUUCUUUCAUUAUUUUUUAGGUUUUUUCCUCUAUACUCUAUGCAUUGUUGUGUUUAACUCAUUCACAACAUAAUUAUUAGUUUCUAUGAUAUGGACACAAACGAAGAAAUCUAGAUCUAGGAAAUUUCUCCCAAGGUAACUAUUGCCUAGACAUAGGGAUAAAAUGCUUGGUUAUCUUAAUCUUCUACUCGUAAUGCACAAUUAAUUAUUAGGGAGACAAGACAUUGUGAUAUAGUAAUUAAGGAUAGGCUUUCUUUGCCGAGACAUCGAGUUUUAAGUAAUUUAGAAAGUGGUAUUAACAUUAAUGAAGAAGAUGAAUUCUUAUAUGCAUGAGAGUAAACUAGGUGAAAUCUAAACCCCCAAAAAUAAUUAUACCAUGUCAAUAUUAAAUUAUACCAUGCAAAAAAAAAUGCCCUGUAAAUAAAUAUUUUACCCUAAACAUAGGACUGAAUACAAUCCUCUUUAUUACUCCAGACAACCUUUUCUCAAAGUACAUGAAAAUUGUUGCUGCAAAAAUUAACGCCUACAAAACAAUAAACAAAUUUAACAUCAACAUAUUCAACUUUGUAACUUGAAUAACAACAACAUUAAUUAAAGUCAAGUAAGUGUAUAAUUACCAGGUUGUCUACACAUUGCCUUGGCCCUAAAGAGAUACAUUCAUUAGUGGUCAACAAUUGACCCAUUAUUAUAGAGACAUAGCUGAAAAAUCAUCAAUUUUACAAUCACGUACCAAUAUCCUUGUUCAAUUAUAAAAAUAAACAUUAUUAUGUUACCUCCGUGGAAUGUCUCUUCGCGUCACUGAGUUGUACAACUUAUCUAAAUCCACCGUUGAUGAAGGACCACCAACAUAAGUACACAAAGGCGGUACAAACAAGGGCUCAACAUGAACAUCUCCUUCACCAUCAUCAACAACGUUAAUGACAAUUGAUGGAUGGUCAUGGGCUACACCUUCUUCUUCUUGAACCGCUUCACUUGCAGGUUCUUCAUGUGCUUCACCUACAGGUUAUUCAUAGCCUUCAUGUGCACCUUCUUCAUUCCCCUGACCCUCAACAUCACCACCAGCUUCAUGACCUGGAGGAUAUUGUUCUACCUUUUGAGAGUUUCGACGAUGACGAAGUUCCUUCCUAAUAGUCGCAAUAUUAUCUCUUAGAUUUCUUAUCUUCAAGUUGUUUGUUCUAAUUUUUUUCCUCGGCAGCUAAUUGCCAAGUUUCGUCAUCUUCUUUUUCAGGUCGUUCUUCUUCACGCCUGCAACCUUGAGGCCUUUCUACCUCAUCCUUAUUGAAAGCACCACGGCUGAGGGGCAUUCAACCAUCAUUAUCACUAAGGUACCAAUAAAAAUGUACCUAUAACAAUGAAAAAUAAAACCUCAAUCAAAUAACAACAAUAAAAAUCAUAAAAAUAAUAAUAUAAGAUGUUAACAAACAAACUUACAAACCACGGUGAAACCACGAAAUAGGGAGAAAUGGGUUAACACAAGCGAUGCGUGAGACAGAGAGCGACGAAAUGGUGCGAAAAGACGAAACUUUGCGAGAAAUAAGGGCAAUGAAACCACGCUCAACCUUGGGAGAAAUAACACCAAGGAAACCACAGUGAAGCCACAAAAUAGGGGGAAAUUGGUUUUCACAAACAAGUCGCGAGACAGAGAGCGACACAAUGAUCCACAACGACUGUGCGCAAAUACGAAACCUUGCGAUGUGAAACCACGAUCAAACGAAGAAAAAGAAGCAAUGUGCGAGACAAAGAGACAGGGAAAUGCACUGAACAUAGUGACCAAAUGAAACAACAAUCGAGCAAGUAAGUCGAAAGAUGAAAGCACUUCAAUGAUGGAGAGAGAGUUCACAAAAGUCCAAUAGAGUAAUGAACAAGACAAAAGGGUUUGUGAAUAUUCUUUCACUGAUGAAAGCGCCAAAAGAGAUUAUGAAAAUUCUUUCCAAAAAAGCCCUCGAAGACAAACUCCACCUUUUGGAAAAAAAAAAAUUCAUUAAAACAACCAAUGACAAUGGUGGGCUUCAUUAAAUUGUUGUCAAAAAUUGGUUGUUAAAGAAGCGUUUCCCAUUCCCUAAUUCAUUUGUUCACACCAAAUGAUGGGCUUUAGCAGCCCCACCAACACCUCAUAAAAAAAAAAGACCAGAACUGAGCUAGGUGCCUUACGUGAGACUCGAGCACAGUUCAAAAGUUUUCCACGCUUUCAAGUAACCACCAAAACUACUAAACCAAGGCCCUUUAGUUGAUAACAUAAUAUAAACAUCAACAUAUAACCGCACCUUAAAGAAUUUCAAGAAUUUAAAUAAAACCAAAAUAAAUUAAUUUAUUAUUCACUUUCAUCACACUUUCCUCAUUCAACAACACACCACAAUCAAACAUUUAAUAACCCUAGUAAAUUUGCAGUUGAGCAUGCAAAAAACCCUAGUAGAAUCAUUUGUCCUUACUUGCAGUGUUGUCAUUUAAAGGUAGAUAACAUAGAUGAGUUAUAAGAGCAUUUAAUAUGCAAUGGAAAUAAAUAAGUAAUGAUCACUCUAACAUUCUGAGUCAAGCUUUAUGUCGCCCAGAGUAUCCAGGUCAUGUUAGAGGAAUGGGAUUUGGAGUCGGUCAUAGAGAUUAUUUCCCGUCCAAAAAGCGCCAUACGCACCAUGAGCAUGAUAAAUUAACUGCCCAAGUGAAAGACAUAUUGGAAAGAAUGACACGAAUGGAAAAUGAGAUGAUUUCGCUUUGAAAAAUUGGCUCACCAAAUACUACUGAAGGAACUAAUAUUAAUAUUGGCCAAGGGAGUUGCACAUUGUCAUCAAAUAAUUUUACCAAGGUAAGUAACUUAUCUACAUUACUUUCAUUAUUACUUUAAUUUGGUUACUUUAAACUUUCAUAGGUCUUCAUAUUUAGUCACAUUGAAGAUUGUCUUAUAAUUAUGUUUUAUAAUGUAGGGGGUCUCAAAAUGUAAAUUGUUAAGGGAUAACAUGGUAGACCUCUACCUAAGGGAUAUGUCAAAAUUAGUAUAAAUAUUGCUUUGGAGCCAAUUGUAUCCUUGCUUAUACUUAUUGUUGAUGAUGACAUGAUGACAAUAAGACAAGGAAUAGGUACAUUUGUCGCAUGGCCAAUCAAUUUCAUACAAAUUGGUGAUUUGGUAUGUUUAUACAAUUGUAUUCAUUCAUAUUUAUGAACAUAUUUUAUUUAUUACCUAACUUCUUUAAUUGAUGAUGUUUUAGGAAUCUACUCAACCUAAAAAGAAAAAGAUGAAUAAUAGAAAUGAAUGUGGUGCACUGAAAAAGAAAUGUCAAGGGAAAAUGUUCAUUCAACAUAGUCCUCAUAAACUAUUUCAUCCUAAUAUUCCUGAAUGGCUCAAUUGCCUUUCUUCAUACAUAAAACUAAAGUCAUCAGAGUCACUUCAUCCAGUACAAAUGGACAAAAACAUAUUUGGGCUAGAUAUUCAUAAAGAAAUCGUUAAUGCAGAAAUUAUUAAAGAAGUUACAGCCUAUGCAUGGCUAGGUGCAACUACAAUUUCUAUAUAGAUCGAGUACAACAUAUAGUUCUUUUUAUCAUUAACUUCAUUCUUAGAUUAUCAUAUUGCUAAUACAUUUUUAUAUUUUUCUUUUAUAAGGUACCUAUAUCAAAAUUUUGUUAAGCUAAAUGAUAAGGUGUUCUUUUUUUUAUCACCCCAAAUCACGACCUACCAAUGAAAGACAAAAUGCAAAAAAUAGUUACUCUUUUUCUUGAUAAUGGGAUGAUUGAUAAGUUUGUUCUUGCACCUAUGAAUACCAGGUAAUAUUGUACUUUACAACUUUAUCAACAAUGUAUUAUUUUCAAAGUUAGAUGUACAAAUUCUAGUUUUGUUGAUUCAUUUAAAAUUGUAGCCAACAUUGGGUCUUGCUGGGAAUCAAUCUUAAACGUAAGAUAAUUCAUUAUCUUGACCCAAUGGUGGUAGACAUUAGUAUGAGGCAAGAUUUGAAGAAAUUGCUUGACAUGUAAGAAUAUAUGGGUUGUAUACUUUUAGUUGAUAUAUAUAUAUAUAUAUAUAUAUAUAUAUAUAUAUAUAUAUAUAUAUAUAUAUAUAUAUAUAUACACACACACACACAGACACACACACAUACACACUUUUAGUUGUAUUGUUUUUACUUAUAGAUGAUUUAAUUUUAUUUUUUCACUAGGGUUAUACAAACCUAUCGAGCUCAAACAGAAUACAUGGUUUCAAAGUCUAAGUCAAACAAUAUCAAUUGGACAACAAUUAAGGUACAUUACUCUAGUAUGUUUUGUGUAGCAUAAUCUUGAUUGUGAUAAUUAAAUUUUUGAAUGACCUUAUGUGACCAUUAGUUCACAUUAUGGUUGCUUGCAUUCUACUGGUUAGGUGUACAACUUGUAUUCUUGAAUGGUUGAAGAUAUAUUUCCUUGUUGCAUGGUAUUGGUUAGUUAAAUAACUUGUGUUAUUGUGAAACUGGUUGGAGGAGUAUACAGUUGUAAUGAAAGCAUGACUUACUAUUAAGAGUUUAAACUUGUAUAUGAUAUAUAGUUAUUUGUUAUCAUGCACUCAAUCUGUUUGGAGUAUACUAGAGUUUUGGUUAUUUUUUAUGUUCAAAUUAUAAAGAUGUUUUUUAAUUUUGGUUUUCUAGUGUCUAAGACAAGCCAAUGACAAUGGUUGUGGGUAUUACGUGUGUCAAUAUAUGAAGGAAAUUAUCACAUACUGUGAAGGAGGAAAAAUCCCAACUGAUGUAAGUUAUCUUUAUUGUCAUAAUUAAUUUGUAGUAAAAUUUAAUUAACUAAUUCUAUAUUAUUUUUCUUUCUUGUAGUAUUUUUCUAGUUGUAGAUGUCAACAAUAUCGUGAAACUCAAAUCAUUGAAGUUAGGGAAAAUCGGUGUUUAUAUGUAAUUAGUACAUGAUUAUAGGUUAUGUUAUCGUGAUGUACAUGCUUAUAAGUAUUGAUAAGAUAUAUAUGUUAUGAUUGUAUAUCAUGUCAUGGAACGUACUAAACGACUGAACGAUUAAAUUUUGAAAUAUUAUUGCACAAACAAUUUUUAUUCAUAUUAAUGAACAUUCUUUCGAGACAUCUAUCAUAUUUUUCUCAAUAUUAUAUAUAUUUUUUUAUAAUAGAACCAAUACAUAGUGUGAGUUUGUACAUAAUAGAACCAAUAUUUUAUAUUUUAUUCUAAAAUUAAUUUUGUUGUUUAAAUUUAGACUAAUAGAUAAUGUUUUUUUUUUAAAUAAGCGUUAUCUGUUGUAAGAGACCAAUAGAUAACGCUUCUUUAAAAAGCGCUAUCUAUUGUUAGCCACCAAUAGAUACUCCUUCUUUAAAAAAGCGUUAUCUAUCCACUAGUGGAAAAAUAGCUUUUUGUGACGAUCCUAUUAUAAUGAAUAAAAAUUAUCCGUUAUAAUAGGUUGACCGGUGGCAGAAUGGUAAUAAAAAUAAGACAUAUUAUAACGUAGUUUUGUAAAUCAGUUAUAAUAUGAAACGCNAUGGCAAACUUGUAAAUAAGUUUAAGACAUUAUAACGUAGUUUUGUAAAUCAGUUAUAAUAUGAAACAUAAUGGCAAACUUGUAAAUAAGUUUAUAACCUAUUAUAACGGAGUUUUAGAAAUCAGUUAUAAUAUCUCCUCCUUUCUAGUUUUUCAUAUUUCCCUAAUUUCAUUUCAAUGUUCCCCUCAUCUCGUUCCUCUCCCGCUCUUCGUGUCGAAAGCUCCGAACACUCCGCUCUUCGUCUCUUCCUUCGUGUCUAAAGAACCAUCUGUAAGACCAAUGAAAAAUGUCUAUUUUAAUAAAGAGUAGUAAAUUUUAGCAUUAUUAUUAGUAAUAAUAAUUUUAAAGGAUCAAAAAUAUAUGAUAGAGAAUUAUAUUAAUUUAAGAAGGAGGGGUUUAAAAUUUCUAGAACCUAUUUUAAAAGUUUCUCUUUAAAAAAAAUUGAAUAGUAAAAAAAAUUAAUAGUGCCCAAGGAUAAGCAUUCCACGUUGGUGCCAAGAGUGAUCAGAUAUGUUUAGGUGCAAAUGGGAUUAAAAUAUUAUUUUUUUAAUAAAGGCUUAAUACCGCUUUUGGUCCCAUGUUUGGGGGGUUGUGUUCAAUGUGGUCCUACCUUUUUUUCCCUUAUGAAUAGAUCCCACCUUUUGAAAAAUUCGUUCAAUUGAGUCCUUUUGCCUUACGGCGUCAGUUUUCUAACGGAGCUGGUUCCCCCUGGAUAAACCUUAGCAACGUGGCAAGAUAAUGUGACUGCGUGGCACUGUGGUUCACCAUUGUCACCGUCAACUUUAAUCUUCACUGUUGACCCUGGGUUACACCUCAUCACCUCAUGUCCAUAGUCAUAGAUCCUUCUAAACUGUUCUUUGUAAUCUAUUUCCAGUUGUCGGGUUGCAAUCAACUUUGCCCUCCUUGCCUUGGAAAUUGAAACAUUCUUAUUCCAUUUCCUUAAAGCUUUACUACGUAUGUCUUUCACUUUGAGACUAGGAUUGUCCAUUAAAGACUUAUCAAUCUCCUGACUCAACCACUUAACAUUCAUCAUUUUAAUGUUAAGUUGCCUACUACACGUAUGGGUGUCAAUAAUCUUCCUCAAUUGCCAAAUUUUACGUGAUGGCAAAUACCCACAAUAAGCCACCCAUGGGCACUUUCCUUGGCCAACCAAGCAUCUUACCCUCACCCUACGUUUAUCAUUUUUCACAAAUUUAAGAGACCUCCCAGCAUGCACAGAAUAGCUUCGUAUGGCAUCCUUAAAGUCUUCCUUAUCUAUAAAUAUUGUGCCCACUUGCCACCUAUAAUCUGCCAUUGAUUUCUGUUUUACAUACUUUGAAAAGGGGCCACUUGGCACUCUAUCCUCGAUGUCAUCCUCAUCACUUCCACUAUUUUGUGGCGUUAAAAGCACAUCAGACUCCCAUUCAUCAUCUGACAAUCCCCUUCCAAUUGGUUGUGCUUCAUCAUCACUGUGUUCAACCACGUACUCAUCACCACUCGAAUCCUCUAUUCCUAGUUCAUCCUCACUGUCGUCUUCCACUUCUUCUUCAUCAGUCUCAAUUGCUUCUUCUUCAAUCUGAACUUCUUCUUCUUCAUCAGUAUGACCUCCUACUUUUUCAAUCUGAACUUCUUCUUCUGCACUGUGAACUUGUUCUUGACUUUGAACAUCAACUCCAACAUCACUGUCAUGUACCACUUCUUCAUUUACAACCUCAACUCGACCCUCAACACAGUCAUUCUCAACUAGCACUUCUUCUUUCUCAACCUCAUCUCGACCUUCACACUCAUUCUCAACCUGAAAUGGNGNNUCAACACCAACACCCUCAAUAUGAACCUCAGCUCCACCCUCAUUUUCAACCUCCACUGCUCCUUCCAUAUGAACAUCACUNUCAACUGCCACUUCUUCUUUCUCAACAUCAUCUCGACCUUCACACUCAUUCUCAACCUCAGCUCCACCCUCAUUAUCAACAUCCAAUCCAUCCUCAAUAGCCUUAUGUUGUUGCACUUCCUCGUCCCCAACCCCACUACCCUCACCACUGUCUGUUGGUCCUUCACAUAAGUACAACACAUCAUUCACAUUGUUUUCUACUACCUCUGGAUUGUCCACCCCAUGAACAACAAACAGGUUAACUUUUCCUAAAUAAUGAGCCACCUUCAGCAUGGUCAUAGCUUCUUUAUCAUCAUACAACUUGUGUAAUACAUGUUGAACACUGUAAUAUAACUCUGAUACUUGCAUGUAACCCGUGUGCUUAAGUGAACCCACUAUUCCAAAAUAACACCAUUUGUCGGGGUCAACCUCCCAAUAUGUUAUCUCCCCACCUAUAUACUUAAAUGGCACGUCUUUUAUCAAGGUCCCACCGUGGUGGGCCACUACCUGAAACCUCUCAACAGACAUCCCAACCCUAACCCUGCAAAUGCAAAAGGGGACCACUACAUUAACUUAAAGAAUGACCUAUGGGACCACUAUCAACCCCAAUAAUGCGACAACUAGUCCCAUAUAACAGAACCCAAUUUCACCCCAUACGUAAACCCCCCACAACGCGACAACAUUCAAAAACAAAUAUUUCAUGGAAUUCACAAAAUUGACAGAACAGAACAUAAAGACUUACCUCAGUGACGCUUUCCCAUUCGCAAUGCAAGGACAACAACUCCAAUUUGAACUUCGAUCUUCACCACAAGGGAUAAUCCGAAAUCGCGAAUUGAAAUGGAACCCUAACCCAGAAAGUGAUAACCCUCUUUUUAACCCCUCUUCACCAUAAAGGGAUAAUUCUGAACUUUUUUAACCCUUUUUUUUUUCAUUUUUCUAAUUUACACGUAAACAAGUCUUACACUGCCACGUUGCUAAGGUUUAUCCAGGGGGGCACCAGCACCGUUAAAAAACUGACGCCGUAAGGCAAAAGGACUCAAUUGAACAAAUUUUUCAAAAUGUGGGAUCUAUUGAUAAGGAAAAAAAAGGUAGGACCACAUUGAACACAACCCCCCAAACAUGGGACCAAAAGUGGUAUUAAGCCUUUAAUAAAAUAAUAUUUAAAAUAAAUAAAUAAAAAAUUUAAAAAACUUUUGAAUAGUAAAAAUUUUUAGCUAUAAAUAGCCAAGGGGGGAAGAAGUGUUGAGAUUGUUGACAACACAAACUCUAUAUCAAACUAGUUUUUGAUGAUGACAAGGGUAAUUAUCGAGAAAUUGGAAUAAACAGAAUGAACAGAAGUGUCUGAAUACAACACCGGACGUAAUUCUGCAAAUGUGUGAAUCAUGCAAUAAGAUACCAUAUUGGGAACACUUUCGAUAAGAGCCUCACCGACUCUUUCUAACUUUAGUCAAAGAAAUGAAAGAAUGGAACUCUGUUUUUCAUGCUAUGUGUUAUGUCCUAGAUUAGGUCUUUCAUUUUGUAAAAUGGCAUAUAAAGUCAUCUUUUGUUGUUUUCUGUGUUUUGUUUUGAUUUUCCGUAUUGUCUGUCCACCAAUGUAAUAUCUUUUACUCAAGGAAAUGUUAUUAGUCGUUUGAAUCAAUCCAAUUACUUAAACUGAUUGAAUAAUAUCUGACAUAUUGCUUGAUUGAUUCGACUGUGCUCUGUUGAAGUCAAUUAUGCUUAAUCUGUCAUGCAUCUUUACAUAUUGACUUCUAUUUUAAUAUGAUUUAAUUCUUGCUUGCCCACUACACUUGAUCUAGAAAAGGUUGUUGAAAGGUUUUGCAGGAAGGACAUUGCUUUGGACAUCCACAAUUGGAAUUCAACAUUUACAUAAAGCAAUGCAUUCGAUUGAUGAAUUAAAGCAUUCGACUGUGUCUAAAUGGGUUAACAAUUUCAAUCCUGGAAUUUAUUUCUAUCCUUACUGUUUGCUUAAAUCAUUACAAUACUGUUAUUAUCUCUGUUCUUUACAUGUUUAAAUAUCUGAAUUGAGAUAAUAUUGUGAGAUUGUUGAUAUUUGUAUUAUUGCAUAUAUAUGUGAUUUGAUAAUUUGAUUAUGAUACAAAUUUGUGCUUAAACUGUUGUUGAAUCUGUGAUAUUCUUCAUUGUGCACUCAAACUGUUUUUGAAACUCAUGCAUAAUGACAGGGGGAGUAUCACUGUGUUACACAUUGUUUCAUCACAUAUCUACAUUUCAGGGGGAGUUUACACUGUUUUGUGAUGAACUUGUGAUUUUGAGAGCAUCAUUGUAUUUUACAAACUGCAUAUCUUUAUGAUGCAUCUCUGUGUUUUUAAAAAGAUUGCAUAAAUGUUUGAAGCAUUCCUUUUUUGUUAAUGCACAAAGGGGGAGAGAUAUACAUGAGUGUAUGAGAGCAAGUCUAUAUGGGGAGAAUUGCUGCAUCAUACUUUAUCUGCUUGAUAUUUUUGUUGUAUAUGCAGAGUAACUGAACUAUUUUAAUUUUUUAUGAUAUAUGCUUUUACUCUGUCAUAUGUUAAUGUGUACAAACAUGGUUGAGUUAUUAAUCAUGGUUGUGCAUCAUCAAAAAAGGGGGAGAUUGUUGAGAUUGUUGACAACACAAACUCUAUAUCAAUCUAGUUUUUGAUGAUGACAACACAAUGCUUGAUAGCAGUACACAUGUUGCUGCAUUACAUGUUUGUUCUGAAGUGUUUGUCAUAUCUGUUGAACAUGUUUUGUUGAAUUGCAAUGUAUGUUCCUAUGAUUGAUUGUGUGUUAUAUUCGUGGAACAUGUUUGUAUUGAAAUGUGCGUGGGAUAUACUUGUAUUGAAAUGAGAACUAAAGUGUUUUUGAUAACUGCAUAUUUUUGGAAAGAAAAAGAUCACAAGCACCUUUAUGAACUUAUAUUUCUUGUGACAAAGUUCUAGUCCAGUCGAAUACACUCAUGAUGGAUUCGACUAUGCUAAAAUCUUUGUACCGAUUUUGAGAACCUGUUCUAUGUGAGAUUUUGAGUUGAAAAUAAUUUCAAAGUAUUUUUUCAUGUGUCAGUCGACAUUGUGGGUUACAUAUUCGACUGUAUUACUGUUCUGUUUGAAACUCUGUUAAGCUUACGCGCUCCAACAACUAUAUCUUUCAAAAUUUAGUUAAGACUGUGUGACCUGGUCAACUGUCAUAAAUGUGUGUUGAUUCUGUUGACUGAGGAGCCUGUGUGUUGACUGUCUGUUAUAACUAUUUUAAUACAAUUGAUUGUAUUAGUAGUGUAUUCGACUGAGAAGCAACGUGAAAUAACAGAAAACUAUAAAUAGAUAGAAAACGAAUUGUUCUGUAACUUUUGUGAUCUAACAUUUUCAUUGUCCUGUUUCAGAUUGAAUUCUUUGUUUCAGAAGCUCCAAGAAUUCUCCAAGAAGACGAUGGUGAUCUUCCUUGAGAGAGAUUCAAAGGGAGGAGUCCAUUGCGCAUACUACUUGAUCAUUAUCUGCACAAAGAAGGUGCUUUCUGUUUGAUCUUGAAGGCUUGGCAUCCUGUGAAGACUGCUGCAUUUGAUUGAAGGCUUGGCAACCUGUGAAAUCUAUUGUGAUAGGCUUGCCAUCCUAUGAAGAGUGUUGGUUACACAUUGAGGAUUGUUCACCGUGGGUGCAGAUUGUAGAAGAGGGAAUUCUUGCUGCAAUUCUGGUUUCUAUGUGUGCAACGAUAUUUUGGUUUUGGGUUAGAGAGGAGAUUUAUAUUUUUGCGUGGUGCUUCUAUAAAUUCCUUGUUGUAAAAACUGCAACCAUUAUAGUGCAUUUGCUUCCUGGAUUGGAAGGACACUGAAUGUAGGCAUUGUUGGCCGAACCAAUAUAAAAACCAUUGUUUGAUUUUCUCUAUCCCUGCACUCUUUAUUUCCAGUCGACUUUAUCUGUUUAGCAAUCAACUGUGUUUUUCCGCUGCAUUGAAUUUUCAUUACUUGCAUUUCAAGGAAAGAUCAAAAAGCUUUGAAUUUUCAUACCAAGAUUGCGAAAAGAUUUUGUUUAUGAAUUAACACCAAUUCACGCCCCCCCCUCCCUCUUGGUGUAAAACUAAGCCUACCUGUUUCCUAAAAAGAAGUAGAGGAAAUAAGAGAGAAAGAGAGAAAGGGAGAGAAGGAAAGAAUUAGGAAGAAAUUUUGGUUGCAAAGAGAAUAGAGAUUCUAGAGGAUUUUCAUGGAAACAACUUCUGAGUAGGAAACUAAGUCUGGAAAAGAGGUAAGGGAGCUAACCUUUCUAAGCUUUUAUAUUAUGAUAAAAUAUUUUCUUACAACUAUUCAUGUCUUGAAAUUCUGUGCAAUUACUGUUAAUGUAAAACCUAUGUGCUUGUUGUAUAACUAUUUGAAUUUCUGCAUUAAUAUUAUAUGUUUUUGUUUUGAAUCAGUGAAUAAGAAAUUUGUUAAUAACAAGUUGAGGAACACUUUGGCUAGGAAAGACCUGGUACUUAAGUUGUUCAUUGUGACACACCUCUCUUUCCUGGAAGUCUACUCGAUGUGUUUUUAACUAAAUUCUUAUUAAACAAAAUAUAAUAUGCUAAUUUUAUUUUGUAAAAUACUCAAUGGAUAUGAAAUCUGUGUUGAAUGUAUUAUAUUAAGUUGGAUGUGAAAUUAUGUAUUUGAACAUAGUAAGAGUUUGGUGGAGAGACUUUGUAGCGACAUGAUAUGAGUUGAUGAAUGUGAACAUGAUGUGAGUCUCGUGGAGAGAUUCUAUAGUGAUAUUGUAUUAGUGUACACUUUGAUGUUGAGAAUCCUGAUGGGAGGGUCAUCCUGAUACUCUAAUAACUCUCCAGUCUUAAGUAGAGAAAGAUGAGUUAUGUGGUGAGAGGGUGAUAACGGUCUAAAAACCAUUAUUUUUGCACUUAAAUUAAUCACACCCUUUAUGGCUUAGAAUGAACUUUGAAUCAUGUAAAACUCUUAGUUUAGUCAUAAGAGAAUCAAAAGUGGUUUUUAGAGAUAUUAUGCUUGUUUUACAUUGUUUUGGCAGGAUUUGAUGAGAAUUGAAGGAUGGAAGUGAAGAAGGAAGGACUUAGACUCAAGAAAGGAUGAGAAAAGAAGCAAAAGAAGAGUGAGGUCCACCGCUCAGCGCCAAUUCCAGCACUGAGUGCCAGCUUCGAGGAGGAAGGCACUAUUUCUCGCUUGAGCGACAACGCUUAGCGUUCUGCGAUUCUGAGGGCCAGCGCUGAGCGCCAGUUUCCACCACUGAGCGCCCUACGAUUAUAGGGUCCACCGCUGAGCGGUCAAAUAGGCGUUGAGUGCCUAAAUUAUGGGCAUGUGCCAAAACUCUGUUACUUUUCUGUGUUAUAAAUAGCCUCAGUGCGAUCCUCAGAGUAAUCUUUUGGCAGAGGAAGACUCCAGAGCACUUUCUACACUCCUUCGAUGCGGUUUCUUGGAUGCUUAGGCUCCAAUUUAUCAAAUCUAGGGUUUACUCUUUCAUCUUUUGUAUUAAUUCCAUCUAGUUUCACCAUGUUCAUGGUGAACUAAUCCCUUUGUUAUUGGGGAACAAUGUAGUCCUUUUGAAACUCUCUUGCAUCAAACUUCUUAUUAUAUUCAUAUGCUUUUAUUAUCAAGUGUUUGGGUUUUCUUUUCUGAUGUUAAAUGCUUACAUCGUUUAACUCAUUCGGUGGUAUGAUAUUUGAUUUUGUCGAUACGGGAACGUACGCGGAAAUCUAGAACUGAUUAGAAUUCUCUUGACUAUGAAAUACUGCCUAGGAAUAGGAGUAGGACGGUCAAUUGCUUUAAGCUUUUGUACUUUAAUGCGUUGGUAAUUACUAGGGAGACUAGGAAUCGUAAACUAGUAAUUUGUAAUAGGCUUUCUUCGUCGAGGAAUCGAGUUUUGAGUAAUUUAGAAAGUUGCAUGACAUUGAUAAUAAAGCGAAUUUAAUAAGAAUAUUAAAUAUAAGAGAGUGGAUAAGGAUGAAAUUAUAAACCCCAACAACCCCAUUCAUGCAUAUCUUUUAUUUUCUAAUUAAUUCAAUUUGCAUUUGCAUGUUUAGAUUUAGUUUUGCAUUAACCCUACAAAAUUAUUCUUCUUCUAAGUCUUAUGUAAUCAAUUUACAUGAAAGAUAAGGCCUAAGAGUCGCUUGGGAAACAAUCUUGGACUUACUGUCUAUUAUUACUUGCCAGGGGCUUAACAAGUAUUUGGCACCAUUGUCGGGGACUCGUGGUUUAACUUUUCAAGUAGUGUAAAUUGAUUAAAUUUGAAUUUGUAUAUAUUUUGUUUCUAGUUUUAUUUUAUUUUAUUUUGCAGGAAGCAUUUCAAACCAGAAGCAAGAAAAGUCAACCUCUUUUAGAAGGACUGAGUGAUAGGAGGGGGAAGAAAGUUAGACGUUCGUCUAGAGAACUAUUCCCUUCUCCUGAAAGGCUAUUACAACCCUCACCGGAGGCAUCUUCACAAAGGACAAAAGAAGAGAUGGCAAAGCAAGCUCCUCUUAUACGCACACUUGCAUAUGCGUCAAAUGUUGUUGGACCGUUGCACUUUAACAGUAUAGCCAUGCCAAGGGACAAUACAACUAACAUGGUGAUGAAUCCUGCGUUAAUCCAUCUGGUGCAGAGCAACCAAUUUCAUGGGCUGUCGAAUGAGAAUCCAUAUGAUCAUUUGACAACGUUCAAUGAAAUUUGUAAUACAGUAUAGAUGAUUGGAGUUUCAUACGACGGGAUCAAACUCAGUUUGUUCCCUUUUUCACUUGGAGGUAACGCCAAGUUGUGGUUACAUUCAUUUCCAGAAGGAACUUCACAACAUGGGAGACUGUGGCGUCCAAAUUUUUGAAUAAGUAUUUUCCGCAGUCAAAGAUUAGUCAAGGAAAACUGGAGAUUUCUUCCUUCAAACAGGGGAUGGAGGAAACCCUUGGAAAGGCAUGGGAUAGGUUUAAAGCCUUGUUGAGAAAAACUUUUGUUCAUGGGUUUGAUAAAACAACUCUGGUUCUUGCAUUCCUUGGAGGCCUUAGUACACAGUCUAAGAUGAUGUUAGACGCUUCAGCUAGAGGCGACAUAAAGAGAAAGCUUGAGGAUGAGGCUUAUGAUUUAAUUGAAAGUAUGGCUGUGAAUGAGCAAGAGACUCAUAGUGAAAGGGGUGCAACAACUCAAAAGAGGGGAGUUUUACAGUUGUCUACUGAUGAUGCAUUACUAGCUCAAAAUCAUCUUCUCACUCAGAAACUUGAUAAUCUAACAAAGGUUCUCGCUCAACUUCCAAAGGAGAUCAGGAAUGUGUCUCAAGCUCAGUAACUUUGUGAUUUCUGUGGUGGUGACCAUAUUAAUGUUCAAUGUGCGGUGAAGGGAAUUUCAACCAAGGGAACUUUAGUCAAGGUUGGAAGAACCAUCCUAGUAUUGGGCAGAGUCAAAAUAACCCAUCUGGGCAAAUAGUGUUAGGAAACAGGUUGGCUUCAUUUUACACCAAGAGGGGGGUGAAUUGGUGUUAGUUCAAAUUUAAAAUCUUUUCGCAAUCAUGGUAUGAAAAUUCAAAGCUUUUGAUCUUUCCUUGAAAUGCAAGUUAUUGAAAAUGUAAUGCAGCGGAAAAACGUAGUUGACUGCUAAACAAAUAUAGUCGACUGAAUUUAAAGAGUGUAGAGAUAUAGAAAAUCAAACACUGUUUUUUAUACUGGUUCAGCCAACAAUGCCUACAUCCAGUGUCCUUCCAACCUUGGAAGCAAAUGCACUAUAAUGGUUGUGGUUUUUACAGCAAGGAAUUUAUAGAAGCACCACGCAAAAAUAUAAAUGUUUCACUUUAUCGACCGACUCAUGAAAAAUCACGUUGAAAUUCUUUUCAUCUCAAAAUCUCAUCAAGUACACUUUCACAAAAUCUAUACAAAGAUUUUAGCUUAGUCGAAUCCAUUACCAGUGUAGUCGACUGAACUAGGCCUUUGCCACAACAAAUAUAAGUUCAUAAAAUUACUUGUGAGCAUGUUCCAAACAUAUAACACAUAAUCAAUGUGUAAAAGUAAUCAAAAUCAUUUUAACACACAUUUCAUACUAGCAUGUUCCAAACAUAUAACACAUAAUCAAUUAUAGGAACGUACAUGCAAAUUAACAAAACAUGUUCAAUAAAAGUAUUGUUCAAAACAGUAUAGCAUAUCAACUGAACAUGUAAUUCUGGAACAUAUGUACUGUUAUUAAGCAGUGUGUUGUCAUCGUCAAAAACCAGUUUGAUAUAGAGUUUGUGUUGUCAACAAUCUCAACAAACAAGAGGCCUUUUCAACAAUAGACUGCAACAACAACCACCUUUGUGGCAACAAGUGGCCAGCAUGACAGAGAAUGUCAGAGACCUUAAUGACAAAUUUGAUAAAUUUAUGAAGGUUUAUGAUUCUCACUAUGCGAGUCACUCACCACUUCUACACCCAAAGGAUUCAAAUCCACUGCCAAACAUCCUGGUUGGUUGGAUACUAUGCAUAAAGAGCUUCUGGCCCUACACUCCAACAAUACUUGGGAUCUUGUCCCACGUCCAUCCAACACCAACAUUGUAGGAUCCAAAUGGGUGUUUCGCACCAAAUAUCUUUCAGAUGGGUCAAUUGACAAAUUAAAAGCACGGUUGGUUGUACAAGGCUUCACUUAAACACCUAGUCUUGACUAUGAUCACACCUUCAGUCCUNUUNUUAAAGCUGCCANUNUUCNUGUCAUUCUCACUCUAGCAGUAAUGAAUAAUUGGCCUCUUCAUCAAUUAGAUGUCAACAAUGCAUUCUUGAAUGGGCACCUGACACAUCCUGUCUAUAUGGAACAACCUCCUGGGUUCGUUGGUCCUCGAUACCCAAAUCAUGUUUGUCGACUUUGAAAAGCUCUUUAUGGCCUCAAACAGGCUCCUCUUGCAUGGUUUCAACGAUUCAGCUCGUUUUUGCUCAGUCUUGGGUUCCUCGGAAGCAAGGCAGAUCCAUCUUUAUUUGUCUACCACAACACUGUUGCCACUCUAUAUAUACUUGUUUAUGUUGAUGACAUAAUUUUGACAGGGAAUAAUAAUUCUUUACUUCAAAAACUUUUGGCAAGUUUCAAAACUGAGUUUGCUAUCAAGGAUUUAGACCAUCUAAAUUACUUUCUUGGUCUUGAGGUUCACUACACUACCGAUGGUGUCUUUCUUAGCCAGACCAAAUACGCUCAAGACAUUUUAUCUCGGGCCAAGAUGUUGGAUGCAAAACCGACAGCCACACCUCUCCAACCUCAUAUUCAACUGACAACCACAGGUGAUCCAUUCUCUGAUCCCACUCAAUAUCGCUCUCUCGUUGGUGCACUCCAGUAUCUCACUAUAACUCGUCCUGGCUUGUCCUACGCGGUAAAUUUGGUUAGUCAAUUUCUUCAAGCUCCAACAACUGAUCACUUUCAAGCAGUUAAACACAUCCUUCGAUAUGUCAAGGGCACCAUGUCCUAUGGCCUAUCCUUCACCCGUGGAGCUUCCCUUAAUGUUCUUGGAUACUCAGAUGCUGAUUGGGCUCGAUGUAUUGAGACUAGGCGAUCUACCUAUGGUUAUUCCAUCUUCUCAGGCGGUAAUCUCGUCUCAUGGAGUGCUAAGAAACAACCAACCGUAGCUCGAUCAAGUUGUGAAUCAGAAUAUAGAGCCAUGGCUAAUGCAGCAGCUGAACUAAUAUGGCUUACUCAUCUUCUACAUGAUCUGCAUAUUUCCCAUCAAGCGCCAACUCUUCUUUGUGACAACAAGAGUGCUAUAUUCCUCUCCCAAAAUCCGGUGGCUCACAAACGCGCUAAACAUAUUGAUAUUGAUUAUCACUUUGUUCAAGAGCUUGUUCUAUCUCACAAACUCAUCACUCAAUUCAUUCCUUCUGAUCUCCAGCUAGCAGACAUAUUCACUAAAAGUCUGCCUGGACCAUUGUUCCAGUUCUUCAGAGCCAAGCUUCACGUUGGACCAAAUCCCAUGCUUUUCUUGAGGGGGGAUGAUAGGAAAUAAUAUAUUUGAUUAUAGUUUACCUUAUUUAGUUUCUGCAUAAUUGAUUUUGUCUUAAAUAAUUGAUAUACUCUUUUCUUAAUUAUGGUUAUGUACAUUCUAUAUAUUGUACGCUGGUUACUCUUUCAAGAUCAAUAAAACACAUUUGUUACAAUCUUUACACAGAUGUUUUCUCCUUUUAGGCCGAGUACAAGCUUCCUGUUCUUCAAUUUCCUCUUCAUCAAGAUCUACCACCUCUCCUAGAUAGUACUUUAUUCUCUUGGAGUAAACAAGAAUUUGGUGGAGUACUUUCACUGAAGGCAUAACAAUCACCUGAUUAAAGAUCUCUCUAAAUUGCUCAUGGUGACUUUCUCUUCUCUCAAUUUUUUUCUCCUUUUCUUCUUCUUCUUCUCCAUCACUGUUGUCUAGCUCAAUGAUUUAUUUUUCCUCUUCCUCCUCCUCACUACUCUCAAUCUCAAUAAUUUCUUUUUCUGCUCUUCUCUCGCUCCUGCUCACCACUACUUUGCAUUCCUCUUUAGAGUUAACAUCAGUAUUAGCCCUAAAUUGGUUCUUCUUUGUGGUUUCCACUCUCUUUGACAGCUGACCAAUUUGACGAGGCAUGGAAACAGCAGUUGAAGGAGUAUCUUCAGUAGGACAUAGACCACAAGGUGUGGUUGGUGAGUGCACAGUUUCCUUGGAUAGUGGCAAAGAAGAAGCUGAUGCAGAAGUUGGAGCAGGAAUUUCAGGUGUUGAGGCUGGUUCAACAAAUGAAGAAAAACCCAAUCCGGAAAUUGGAGAUAUAGUUCCUGUUUUUGAACACGGAAAAUAAAGUUCAUCAAACUUGGCAUGUCUUGUUAGGUAUAACCGGGAGGUUGAAGGAUCCAACCAUUGAAAUCCUUUAUGGUUGCUGCUGUAUCCAAGAAAAAUACAAGGUGCACUGCGAGGAGACAAUUUGUUAGUGGCAUAGUCACAGAGACAAGGAUAAACCCGACAACCAAAAGGGUGAAAGUGAGCAUAAUUAGAAGGAGUAUUAUAUAAGGUCUCAAAUGGAGAAACAUCAUUUAGAAGAGUGGUCAGUAACCGAUUUAUGACAUAAACAACACAACAAAAAGCAUGUAGCUAAUAAUGAGUAGGGAGAUGUGAAUGAAAAAGCAUUGCAAGACUCGUUUCAGCUCUACCAUUUUGGGCUGGUGUGUGAGGGCAAGACAUAAGAUGAAGAAUUCCAGCUUCAUUUAGCAAGGUCUUGACUUUGUUAUUNGUGAAUUCGGUGCCACCAUCACUUUGGAAAGUUUUUAUAGUAGUAUGAAACUGAUUUUCAACAAAUUUCUUGAACUGGACAAAUACAUCAUAAAAAUCAGAUUUCAGGCGCAUUGGAUAUAACCAAGUGAAUCUGGAAUAGUCAUAAAUGAAAAUCACAUAAUAUCGAAACCCAAAUUUUGAACAAAUGGGAGCAGGUCCCCAUAAAUCACAAUGAAUUAAAUCUAGCACAUGCGAUGCGCGUUUCUCAUUUAGGGAAUAAGGUAGUCUUUUACUUUUAGCUAAUUCAAAAGAGCCACAAAUGGAAGGAGUUGGUAAAAUAUAAGAUAAAGACAAAAGACCUCUUUUUCUUAAAUUGGAAAUAGUAUCAAAGUGAACAUGACCCAAACGAUAAUGCCACAAUUCAAAUGAUCCUCGUAGCUUAUUGGAAUUUAAAACAGAAACAAAGGCAUUUUGACCAUGCUACAAUACAUAUAAGUUGUGCUCACGCCUCCCUUUUGCUAGAAUUUCCUUUGUACCCCUUUACUGAAGCAGAAAAGAUGUGUCACUAAAGAUAGCAUCCACAGGAAAGUCACGUGUAAGUUUGCUAAUUGAAAUGAGAUUCUUUUGGAGUCCAGGCACAACAAGAAUAUCAAAAAGGUUUAAAUUAUUUGUCAAACGAUGAGAUCCAAUAUGGGAAAUGGGGAGAGCAUUACCAUUUCCAACAGUAACUGUGUGAUUACCAGAAUAAGGCUCAAUUGAGUCUAAAUCAGAUGAGUUUGCUGUCAUGUGUGCUGAAGCUCCAGUAUCGAGGUACCAAUCAAACUAGUUUGAAUUUGAUAGAGUGCAAGAAUUUGCAAAUGAUUCAGCAAGAUUGGCAGAUUGAGGUGGGCCACCUUCAUAACGUUGAUGGCAAGAUGUGGCAUAAUGACCUUCCCUUCGGCAGAUUUGGCAAUGGAUAGGACGACGUCCUCUGCCGCGACCACCACGACCUGAGUAUUGGUAACCACGACCUGUUUUGCCAGUUGAGAAAGAAUGCGAUCCAGAUUGAAAACAUGUAUUGGAUGAUUGCGAGGAACGUUGAGUAGUGGUAUGCAAAGCAGCUUGAGAGGGAGUAGAUUCAACGACAUGUAAAUACAUUUCAAAACUCUCGGCAGCAGAAAGAAGAUCACGAAAAACAGGCAGUGGUCGCAUGGCUAAUUGAGAUGCACCAAUGCUAGUGAAAGUGGGACCUAAAGCCCGUAAAAACCAGUGUAAUUUAUCUAAAUCAUCCACUGGUCUACCCAUAAGGCUGAGUUGAUCACAUAAGCCUCGAAACGUUUUGGAAAACUCCCUAACAGUGAAUGAGCCUUUUGUUAGGUGCAACAGUUGAUCUUUGAUCCCAAUUUCUCUUUCCUUGGAGUCACCACCAUAGAGGGAUUCAAGAGUAGUCCAGAUCUGCUGUGCGGUGUCACAGUACAGUACUUCCGCUAGAGUCUCUUCAGUAAGGGAGGCCUGAAGAAGACUUAUAAGUCUUUGAUCCUGUUGUUUCCACGUAAUAAAGGCUGGAUUAGGUCAUGAAGGUUGAAAAACAGUGAUUUUCAUAUGUCAAUUUGGACCAAAUUACACCUUUUACUACUCGGGACGAGCUUAGAAUCAAGCAAAACUCAAUAAAUGAGUCUGGAGAGAGUCAAAAGUUGUUUUUAGCGAUUUUAUGCUUAUUUUGCAUUGUUUUAUAUCUAAUUUGAGAAAAGUAAGAAUGGAGUGAAGAUACAGGUCGUUGACUAAAGAAAAGAGCAAAAAAAUGAAGUUUUGAAGAGUCGACGUACCGCCCAGCAGCACACUUAAACCGCCGGGCAGUCCAGGAUAAGGAGUAGGCAGCAUUUCACGCUGAGAGAAACCGUCGGGCGCUGCCGAUUGCCGCCGGGCGGUGGCAUGGGAAACCGCCAGGCGGUGGCGAUUGCCGCCGGGCGGUGGCGGCAGGUUGUGGCAAACCGUCGGGCGGCACACUCAAACCGCCCGGCGGUAGCACGCUGGACUUGGGCCUGAUUUUGACGCACUCCUCACCUAUAAAUACCCCUUCUACGAAUUCAGAGUCAUUCUUUUGACAGGGGAGAACGCCCAGACCUAAUUUUGCUCUCUGGAGAGGAUCUCUUGGAUGCUUAGGCUNNUUUUCAUCUUUUCUAGGGUUUGCUCUUUCAUUCUUCUUCCAUUCUUCAUCUAGUUUCACCAUGUCUAUGGUGAACUAAACCCUAUUGUUGUUGGGGAAUUCAAUGUAAUCUUUUGAUACUCUCNCUUAUUGAAACUAUUGAUUAUUUAUAUGGUCUCCAUAUGUUUCGAUUGAUUAUUGUUGGGUUAUCAUCUAUGCUUAAGGCUUUUAUCGUUUAACUCAUUUGAUAUAUUGUUGUUUGUCGUUAUUGACAUGGGGACGUGCGGUAGUGACAUGAACUAGUGAGUAAUCUCUUGAUUCUGCAAUACCACCUAGGGAUAGAGGUAAGACGAUCGAUUGCACUAACUUCUGUUUAUAAUGCGGUAUUAAUUACUUGGGGAGGCUAGGGAUAGCAAGCCAGUAAUUGAUACUAGGCCCUUUUCGCCGAGGGAUCGAGUUAAGGGGAGGCUAAGAAAGUCGCAUAACAAUUGAAUCAAUCUAAUAAUAAAGGGUAAUAUGUAAGAGAGAAUGGAAUAGAUGAAAUUGUUAGUACCCAACAACAUCCAUUCAUCCAUUGUUUUCACUUGUCAAUUGAAUCAACCUUUAUUUUGCAUGUUAAUAUUUUUAUCCUCAAAUCCAAUUUAUUAAUUUUAAUUUCUCAAGUCUUAUUAUUUUAAUUCACACGAACGAGGAAGCCAUACGAGUCUCUUGGGAAAACGAUACUUGGUCUUAGCAUUUAUAUUACUUGUACGAUUUGGUACACUUGUCAAUCCGUCAACAUUAGGAACCGUCAAAGAUCCAUCAGCAGCAGGCAAUUUCGCAGGAGGAGUUAUGAUUGAGCCAUCAAUAUGACCAUAAAGGGCCUGUCCUUCGAGAAGAGGAAGGAGCUGACGACGCUAGAGAAUGAAAUUGGUUGAGGUGAAGCGUAUGUUUAACAUGUGGAUCAUGGUGUUAAAGGAAACAGCACCAUCAGUAUUAGCCAUAGGGAAGAAAAGAAAAGAAGAAAGGGUAAGGAAGGAUCGAAAUUAGGUUGAUACCAUGUAAAGAUUGUAACAAAUGUGUUUUAUUGAUCUUGAAAGAGUAGCCAGCGCAUAAUAUAUAGAAUGUACAUAACCAUAAUUAAGGAAAGAAUAUAUCAAUUAUUUAAGACAGAAUCGAUUAUGCAGAAACUAAAUAAGGUAAACUAUAAUCAAAUAUAUCAUUUCCUAUCAAUCCGGCUAAAAGGAAAGAUCCAGGAAGUCUUACUCUUCCAUGCGCUAUAGGAGAUGUGGAUGUAGGAAGAGCUAUGCUAAUUCUGGGUCUAGUAUUAAUAUGAUGCCCUUGUGUUAUCUGAAAAAAUUUGGAGGGCUAGCAUUCAAACCAUCUAAUAUUUCUGUGAUGGUAGCGGAUGGAUCUACUAAGAGUCCGAUUGGUAUGGUGGAGGAUGUGAUUGUUCGGAUUGAGCAUCUUGAGUUCUUGGUCGAUUUUAUAGUCAUGAAUAUGGACACAAAUGAAAGGAUUCCACUGAUUCUGGGAAGGCCUUUCAUGAAAACUGCUAAAUUGGUUAUGGGUAUCUAUGAUGGGAGGAUUAUGUUAAAAGACCAAGAAAAUGUCUUAAUUUAUAAUGGCUCUGAGAAGAAGAUAACACGGUCAAGAAAGAGAGCCAAAUAUAAUGCUUCAAGGAGAGAUGUUGCAACUGGAGGAGAUACAGGUACUAAUGAUGAUUGUAAUAUUUUGCAGGUACCUUAGGAGGAUGAUGUUGACAAAGGAAUCCACUUUGACUCAAAGGAAGCAACACUCCAACCUGGUGCAAACGUGAAAUACAAGGAGAAGAAGUGGUUAGUGAAAGAGCUUAAAGAGAAAGGAGUAGUUGAGAUUGAAAAACCAUACUCCUGACUAGUCAAGGAGGUGGAUAGGAGGCAGCUGAUGAGUUGGUGGGAUGAAGACACCAUCGUGGGCGAGAAGACAUGAGUUUGAUGAGAGAUAUCCCAGUUGUUGUAAAACAUUAUUUUUAUUAUUAUUCGGACAUGUAAUUAUGGAUUUUUGGAUUUUUGAACAAUUUUUUGGUAGCAUCUACUAAGGGAUGCUAAUUAUUUAUGUAUCUACUGAAGGAUACAGGUAAGUACACCUACUAAAAGGUGUUGGGAGGCACUUACUAUUGAGUGCUAGAAAAGGUUUGGGUCAGGCUCAUGACGUUAAACAAGCGCUACCUGGAAGGCAACGCAGUUAAUUAUUUUCUUAUUUUUAACUCUGUUUUAGUUUCAUUAUAGGCUUUGAGUCUUGCAUAAGAAAGGGGAAGUGCAUUAAAUUGAAAAUUGAAAGUUGAAAUCAAGUGUUACAGGAUCUAAAACGUGAAGGCAAACCAAAAAGGGGGAAGAAAAAUUUAACGCCCACCGCUCAGCACUCAUCUGACUGCUCAGCGGUGGCGUCGCAUACUGUAACAUGGGCUUUUUAAAAGCUCAGCGUCGGAGGCCCAUUUGCACACUUCUAAAACCUCCCUAGUGUGUGCCCAAGCAUUCUCUACAGACCCUAGCACUUUGCUUUCACUUUCAAGAGAAUUUGAAAGGUUUUCCUUCACUUUUCUCAUCACCCACUCACCAAAAUCUCAUAGUUCUUCACUUUUCACCCAUUCCAUUGACAAAGUUUGGAGUUUUUGGUGAGAGCAUUGCAUUGGAGAAGCAUCCAUCAUCAUUCACAGAUUAUUUGCAUGCGUCUAGAGUAUCUCCACUCAAGUAAGUCAUGCAAUUUCAUUCUUAGGGUUUCUUGAAUUGAAUUUGUUGAAGAACGUGUGUAGAUUAGGGCUUUUGCUUUCUAUGCAUGAUUUGAUGAAAUAGAAACAUUUUGCACCGAUUAAAUUGCAUGAUUUUUGUCCGGAACUGAGUAAUUUGUGAUUGAGUGGAUAUUAGAGUGGGUUAGGUGAUGAAGGUUGAAAAACAAUUAUUUUCAUAUGUCAUUUUAGACCUAAUUACGCCCUUUACUAUUUGGAAUGAGCUUAGAAUCAAGCAAAACUCAAUAAAUGAGUCUGUAGAGAGUCAAAAGUUGUUUUUAGCGAUAUUAUGCUUGUUUUGCAUUGUUUUGUGGCUAUUUUGAGAAAAAUGAAGAAUGAAGCUGAAGAAAAGAGAAGAAAAUUGAAGAUUUGAAGAGUCGACGCACCGCCCGACGACAACUUACACCGCUGGGCGGCCCAGGGCGAGGAGUAGACAUUGGCGUUGGCGUUGGGCGAUUUUGAGGGAAACCGCCGGGCGGUGACCCUUGCCGUCGGGUGGUAGUCCGUUGGGCUUGGGCCUCUUUUCUGUUGUGCUCCUCACCUAUAUAUACCCCUAUUGCGAGUUCAGAGUCAUUCUUUUGACAGGGGAGGGCGGCCAGACCUAAUUUUCCUCUCUGGAGAGGAUCUCAUGGAUUAGGCUCCUUUUCAUCUUUUCUAGGGUUUGCUUUUCCAUUCUUCUUCCAUUUUUCAUCUAGUUUCACCAUGUCAAUGGUGAAGUAAACCCUAUUGUUGUUGGGGGAAACAAUGUAAUCUUUUGAUACUCUCUUUUAUUGAAACUCUUGAUUAUUUAUAUGGUUUCCAUAUGUUUGAUUGUUAAUUGUUGGGUUCUCAUCUGUGCUUAAGGCCUUUAUCGUUCAACUCAUUCGAUAACUGUUGUUUGUCUUUAUUGAUACGGGGACGUACAGUAAUGUCAUGAACUNNNNNNNNNNNNNNNNNNNNNNNNNNNNNNNNNNNNNNNNNNNNNNNNNNNNNNNNNNNNNNNNNNNNNNNNNNNNNNNNNNNNNNNNNNNNNNNNNNNNNNNNNNNNNNNNNNNNNNNNNNNNNNNNNNNNNNNNNNNNNNNNNNNNNNNNNNNNNNNNNNNNNNNNNNNNNNNNNNNNNNNNNNNNNNNNNNNNNNNNNNNNNNNNNNNNNNNNNNNNNNNNNNNNNNNNNNNNNNNNNNNNNNNNNNNNNNNNNNNNNNNNNNNNNNNNNNNNNNNNNNNNNNNNNNNNNNNNNNNNNNNNNNNNNNNNNNNNNNNNNNNNNNNNNNNNNNNNNNNNNNNNNNNNNNNNNNNNNNNNNNNNNNNNNNNNNNNNNNNNNNNNNNNNNNNNNNNNNNNNNNNNNNNNNNNNNNNNNNNNNNNNNUUAUUUUUAUUUUCAAGUCUUAUUAUUUUAAUUCACGUGAACGAGAAAGCCUUUCGAGUCUCUUCGGAAGAACGAUAUUGGGUUAAUCCAAUUAUAUUACUUGAACGAUUUGGUACGCUUGUCAAUCCAUCAACAUUAGGCAAGGCUUUGCAAAAAUCCUGACGCCACCGCUGAGCGGUCAGUGGGCGCUGAGCGGUGGGCGACAAAUUUUGUUUUUGGCUUUGUUUUGUGAUGAUGCAGUGGUGUUGAGGGGUCUUGUUUGGCCCUUAGUGCUGGAUGAUGUUUGAAUGGUGUAUGAUUGACGAUUUGCUGACUCUUAAUGGUGAAUUUCCUUGGUCGUUUGAAUUAUAAUUGAUGUAGGAAUGACAUCAUCUUCAAGGAGAAUGAAGACCAUGGGAAACAAGAGAAAAGAGCUGGAAAGGCCACGGAGAUUUUAUUCUCACACGUUCCUCUCUAGGAAACAUGAGGAACACUUCUCGAUUGUGCAAGAAAGGAGAUUGCUGAUGGAGAGGAAAGCCAUUUGGAUUCCAGACUUGGCUCCUCAAUUUGGUGCGGAGCUUGAAAGCAGAAAUUGGGAGAAGCUGGCUACAUAUCCUCCGUUAACUAACAUUGAGGUAUUAAAGGAAUUUUAUACUAAUGCCCUAUCUAGAGGAGUGCAAGAUGAGAAGUACACUAGUUAUGUGCAAGGGGAGUUUAUCAGGUAUGAGCCCGAGACUAUUAAUAGGUUCUUAGGCACUGAGUAGGCUGGUGAGCAGUGCCGGUAUGCACUGAACAUAGGGGAAUUUUCAGAUUAUGAGGAUAUUGAAAGGGUGUUGUGCAUACCUAGAGGAAACUUUCACAGGAACCCAAAUUGAGUGCCCAUCAAUGUCAAAAGGGCAGAUUUGACACCCUUGGCAAAGUAUUGGAUGACAUUUACUCAUGCCAAUGUUCAACCAUGCUCCCAUGUUUCUGAUAUCACUAUUCAUUGGAUUAUGUUCAUCUAUUGUAUGCUGAGACAAAUGGAUGUGAAUGUUGGCAAAGUCAUCGCCAAUGAGAUCCAGAGUUAUGCUACUACUGUGAGUAGCAGGACACCAAUGGGACAUCCUUCCCUUAUUACCUACUUAUGCCAACAGACUGGGGUGGAUACUUCUAUUCCACCAUUUGAGAGGCCCAGGAAGGCUAUAGAUGUUGCCUACUAUAGACAGUUUUGUGGAGGAAAUGAGGCAGCUGGACCAGUGCCUAGGAGACAAACCAGGAGAGGAGCAACUCAGUAGGAUGAGCCAGCACAACACGCAGAGCCGUUCCAGAUGAGGGACAUGUACAUGUCCAUGAUGGAGGCUAGGAUGGAGUCUCUCCGCAGAGGGUAGGUGGGCACAACCAAGAUUAUUAUAGGUCUAUAUGACACACCUCCAGCGCACAGGUGGACUAUGGAUGAGUUCCAUAAUGUUAUGGCCUGGCCUCAGGAGCAGGCACAGGGUAGUGGAGCUGGAGCAGCUGCAACUGCAACUAUGGACGAGGAUGAUGAGGAGGAUGAAGACUUUGAGGAUGCAGAGGCUGGACACAAUGAGCAUUCAGAUGACAGCAUGGGUUGAUAGGGCAUAUACUGAUGGAUUCCAUUGUAGUAAGACAGGGUUUUAUCUUUAUUUGUCUUUUGUACUUUGAAUUUCUAGAAUAGGUUUAAUUUGGUUGGGUAGUGUAGGUGUCUGUACUUGCCUGGACACUUUUUUUACUAUGGUUUGACUUGGUUUUAUUGCAUGAUGAGCUUGCUUGAUGCAGUUUGAUGUGAAUGAUGAUUGAGAUUGUAUUACAUGCUGAUAUACAGGUGAAUUGUUCACUAGUUGUGUGAACAAAUGCAUGAUGAUUUAUGAUUGUGAUUAUGAUGCUAAGCAAGAUGUAUGAUUGAUAUUUGAGAUGUUCAAAGAGCAUAACUGUGUGAGGUUUUGAGCUCCAGAGUGCUUGUUGAUAUAUUUACUAUUCAUUUGGAAGCAUGAAUGAUAUUGCCUGAUUCUUUAUGAUUGAUUGAAUUACAUGCUUAAGUCAUAUGAUCAAGGCCAUUUUUCGUAGCCCUUACUUGUUUCCAUUCUUUUCUCAGUUUUCUUGUUGUUUAUUAAAUUAUCUUUUGAUGCUUCAAUUUUUUUUUUAUUUUGUUUUCAGUUGAAAGCUGCAGCUGCUGUUGCACUUUGGUAGUUUGACUCAAUUUUGCAUGCCAUGUUAUUUUGUACAAUCAAUGACUUUCCAGUAUAUUGUAAUUUUAGUGGGUAUGGUAUAAAGGGUCACAAAUCAUGCCCUAUAUGUGAAGAAGGCACAUGUUAUUAUCAACUUAAGCAUGGAAAGAAAACGGUUUACAUUGGACAUCGAAGAUUUCUUAGUACAAACCAUCCUUUUCGUAAAUUAAAAAAAGCAUUUAAUUAAUGUCAAGAAAAUGAAAUAUAUUAGAGGCGUAAGUUUUCCUUUCUAUUUUGAUUCCUUCCUAUAUUAUUAUUAUGAUGUAAUGGAUGUCUAACUUUUGUAUAGGUCUUUGGAAGCUCAUUCAAGGUUGUGGGGUAUUCCAUCUAUUUCUAAGAAGAUGCAAAUAAUCACACCUAAUGUAAGAGAAGUUGACAUUCCUUUGUUUUGUGUUUUGUGAUUUCUAUUUUUGUGAGCAAUUGGUUGUGUUGUUGGUUUUGUGAAAUUUUGUUUACCAAAAUAUACAAAGCUACAUGGUGCAAAGGCUAGCUAGAGUAUAAUCUGAUAUUUUGUAUCCUUGGUUUCUGUUGACAAAUUGGCAAUUGUACCAAAUCGUACAAGUAAUAUAAAUGGUAAGACCAAAUAUCGUUUUCCCAAGAGACUCGUAUGGCUUUCUCGUUCGCGUGAAUUAAAAUAAUAAGACUUGAAAAAUAAAAAUUAAUAAAUUGGAUUUAAGAACAAAAAUAUUAACAUGCAAAAAUAAAGUUGAUUCAAUUGACAAACGAAAACAAUGGAUGAAUGGAUGUUGUUGGGGGUUUACAAUUUCAUCUAUUCCACUCUCUCUUACAUACUACCCUUGAAUAUUAGUUUGAUUAAUUCAAUUGUUAUGCGACUUUCUUAGCCUCCCCUUAACCCGAUCUCUCGGCAAAAAUGGCCUAAUAUUAACUACUGGCUUGCUAUCCCUAGCCUCCCCUAGUAAUUAAUACCGCAUUAUAAACAGAAGUUAGCGCAAUUGAUCGUCCUACCCCUAUCCCUAGGUGGUAUUGCAAAAUCAAGAGAUUACUCACCAGUUCAUGUCCUUACUGUACGUCCCCAUAUCAAUAAAGACAAACAUCAGUUACCGAAUGAGUUAAACGAUAAAGGCCUUAAGCACAGAUGAUAACCCAACAAUUAACAAUCAAAACAUAUGAAAACCAUAUAAAUAAUCAAGAGUUUCAAUAAGAGAGAGUAUCAAAAGAUUACAUUGUUUCCCCCAACAACAAUAGGGUUUAGUUCACCAUAGACAUGGUGAAACUAGAUGAAAAAUGGAAGAAGAUUGGAAGAGCAAACCCUAGAAAAGAUGAAAAGGAGCCUAAGCAUCCAAGAGAUCCUCUCCAGAGAGAAAAAUUAGGUCUGGUCGUUCUCCCCUAUCAAAAGAAUGAUUCUGAAUUCGCAAUAGGGGUAUAUAUAGGUGAGGAACGCAUCAGAAAACGGGCCCAAGUCCAGCGAGCCACCGCCGGGCGGUUUAAGUGUGCCGCCCAGCGGUUUGCCACAAAUUGCCCUAUCGCCCAGCGGCAAUCGCCACCGCCCGGCGGUUUCCCUCAGGUUCGCCCAACGUCAAUCGCCAUGCCUUCUUCUCGUCCUGGACAGCCCGACGGUUUAAGUGUGCCGCCGGGUGGUGCGUCGACUCUUCAAAUCUUCAUUUUUCUGCUCUUUUCUUGAGUCAACGACCUGUAUCUUCAACUACAUUCUUUACUUUUCUCAAAUUAGCUACAAAACAAUGCAAAACAAGCAUAAAAUCACUAAAAACAGCUUUUGACUCUCUUCAGAUUCAUUUAUUGAGUUUUGCUUGAUUUUAGGCUCAUUCCGAGUAGUAAAGGGUGUAAUUUGGUCCCAAUUGACAUAUGAAAAUAACUGUUUUUCACCCUUCAUCAGUUUCAAUGAGUCUUGAUUAUUUGUAUUUAAUUUGUAGUGUCAACGUCAAUUGGGCAGCUAUGAAUUGUUGAGAUUAUUGACAACACAAACUCUAUAUCAAACUGGUUUUUGAUGAUGACAACUCAGUGCUUAAUAACAGUACAUAUGUUCCAUUAUUACAUGUUCUUAUUCUGUAACGUUUGUCAUAUCUGUUGAACAUGUUUUGUUGAAUUACUUUAUAUGUUCCUAUGUAUGAUUGAGUGUUAUAUUUGUGGAACAUGCUUGUAUUGAAAUGUGAGAUAAAGUGUUUUUGAUCAUUACACAUUUUUGAAAGAAAAGAUCAUAGGCACCUUUUGAACUUAUAUGUGUUGUGACAAAGUUCUAGUCUAGUCGAAUACACUCUUAAUGGAUUCGACUAUGCUAAAAUCUUUGUACAGAUUUUGUGAACAAGUGUUGUGUGAGAUUUUGAGUUGAAAAGAAUUUGAAAGUUAUUUUUCAUGUGUCAGUCGACAUUGUGGAAUGCAUAUUUGACUGUAUUAUUGUUCUGUUUGAAAUUUUAUUAAGCCUACAAGCUCCAACAGCUAUAUUUUCAAAAGUUAGUUAAAACUGUGUGACCUGGUCAACUGUAAUAAAUGUGUCUUGAUUUUGUUGACUGAGGAGCCUUUAUGUUGACUAUCUGUUAUAACUGUUUUAAUACAGUCGACUGUAUUAGUAGGCUAUUCGACUGAGAACCAAUCUGUUGAAACAGAAAGCUAUAAAUAGACAGAACGCGAAUUGUUUUGUGACUUUUGUGAUCUGAUAUUUUCAUGUUCCUGUUUCAAAUUAAAUUCGUUAGAAGUUCCAAGAAUUCUCCAAGAAGACGGUGGUGAUCUUGCUUGAGAGAAAUUCAGAAGGAGAAGUCAAUUGCUCUUACUGUUUGAUCAAUAUCUGCAUAGAGGAGGUGCUUUUGUUUGAUCUUGAUAGGCUUGGCAUCCUGUGAAACACUACUGGUUCUUGACUGAAGGCUUGGCAACCUGUGCAGUCUACUGUGAUAGGCUUGGCAUCCUGUGAAGAGUGUUGGUGACACUUUGAAUUGUUCGACGUGCGUGCAGAUUGCAGAAGAGGGGAUUCUUGCUGCAAUUGCUGCAAUUCUGGUUUUGUGUGUGCAACUAUAUUUGGUUUUGUGUUAGAGAGGAGAUUUAUAUUUUUGCGUGGUGCUUCUAUAAAUUCCUUGUUGUAAAACCUGCAACCAUUAUAGUGCAUUUGCGUCCUGUGUUGGAAGGACACUGGAUGUUGGCCGAACCAGUAUAAACAUAGUGUUUAAAUUUUCUCAUCCUUGCACUCUUUAUUUUCUAGUCGACUAUAUCAGUUAGGCAAUCAACUGCGUUUUUCCGCUGCAUUGAAUUUUGAAUAACUUGCAUUUCAAGGAAAGAUCAAAAGCUUUGAAUUUUUCAUGUCAAGAUUGCGAAAAGAUUUUAAUUUUGAAUCAACACCAAUUCACCCAUCCCCCCUCGUGGUGUAAAAAGAAGCCUACCUAUUUCUUAACAUGAAUAUGGGUAUUAUGUAAUGGAACACAUGCAUACCAUUAUUUGUACAAACAUUACUCAAUCAUGGAAUAAGGUAUUAAAAUACUAACUAAAUACUUAUCCAAUUAUUCAUUACAAUAUUGUUUUAGCUCUAUUAUUUUAUUUGUAGAUCUCUAAUGAUUCAUCUCCCAUGGAAGCUGCAGACAUCAACGACAUUAGAAGGAACUUGGCUUCUUUUAUUUUAAGUGUUAGUAGAAACUUGACUAUUCGAUAAUGUAUGUACAUCAAUGUAAUAUUUGGAUUUAAUAUAUAGUUUCAUGUACACUUUGAAUAUACAUUGAUGUAUUAAAUAUUAUUAAACUAUUUAAUGUUUGAAAUGAAUUCUAUUUGGUUAGUUUCAUUAAAUUUGUUUAUUUGAAGUAAUAUUGAUUAUAAAUUGAUUGGAUGAAAUGAUAAUAGAAGAAUAUUAUUAUAAUUUCGUUUGAUGUCAAAUGUAAUAAUAAUUUUUUUAUUUAAAAAAAGAACAUAUAUUAUGACGUACUAAAUAAUGUACGUUAUAACAUAUUAUAACGUAUUAUAACGUACAAAAACUUCUACGUCAUAAUACCUUCAACCCUAUUAUAACGUACAAAAACUUUUACGUCAUAAUACCUUCCACCAUAUUAUGACGGACUUCAGAAAUUGUGUUAUAAUAUGUUCAGACUUACUACAUCGUAAAAUUAUAGUACGUUAUAAAAUGUGCAGACUUACUAUAUCGUCCAAAACUAUAUCCCCAGUAACUACGUUAUAAAAACUCAUUUUUGUACGUUAUAAAAAGUCAUUUUUCAACUAGUGAUUGUCAACCACCAAUAGAUAACGCUUUUUUAAAAAAACGCUAUCUAUUGUCAGCCACCAAUAAAGAGCGCUAUUUUAAAAAAGCGCUGUCUAUUGGUGGCUGACAAUAGAUAGCGCAUAAAUAGUGCUUAAAAAGCGUUAUCUAUAAUAAAAAAGAGUGCUAUCUAUACAUUUUUUUGUAGUAAUGGAUGUCUUGACUUGUUUGGAUACAAGUUAGAAGUGCCAUUAUGAAUUUAUCCACUGGAAAUAUAUAGCUUUUCCUAGUAAAGAAGCUCUUCUAACAACAAACUAUCUCAUAUAUCAAUGCUACCUGCCUUAGAAGCGUGCAUUUCUUUUUUCUCUAUUUUUCUUCCUCUCCACUGCUCUUACAUAAUUGAAAACGAAAAAUGGAAAUUUUAUUACCUUGAUAUUCUUGCUUAAAACAUUUCAUUAUUUUUUCUGCUUUCUACAAACUGAGGAGGUUCAAGUAGUGGGACAAACUCCAGGGAAUUUUAUCAUUUGGCGAGCCAGAUUGGCAAACCCAAUUUUAGUAAGUAUUGUUAUUCAUACUUGCCUUAAUUACUUAUGUAUUAAAACACUAACUAAAUAUUUAUCUAACUAUUGAUUACAAAAUUGUUUUAACUCCAUUAUUUUAUUUGUAGAUCUUUAAUGAUUCAUCUUCAAUGGAAGCUCCAAACAUUGAAGACAUUAGAACCAAGUGAGCUUCUUUUAUUUUAAGUGUUAGUAAAUUGUAGAAACUUCACUACUAUUUAGUAGUGUAUGUAGGUUAAUGUGAUAUAUGGAUUUAAUAUAUAAUUUGACUUAGAAAUUAUGUAUUAAAUUUACUAGACAAUUUAAAGUUUGAAAUGAAUUUCAUUUUGUUAGUUUAAUUGAAUGUGUUCCUUUCAGGCUAUGUUGAUUAUAAAUUGAUGGAUGAGAUAAUAAUACAAGAAAUUUAUUGGAUGUCAAAUGUAAUUACAAUUUUUUUAAAAAAAAAAAAAAAUACGAUGUACAUGAAAGUGUAUGUAAUAAUAGGUUAAUUCUGAAAAACAUAUAUUAUGACAAGUAGACAAUUACUUUUCAUAAUACAUUCGAGAUAUUAUGAAAGAAAAAUCCAGUUACGUCAUAAUAAAUUCACCACAUUAUUAAUAAUAAGAUAAAAUAUAUCAUAAUACAUUGAGUAUUAUGACAGGUGAAAGAAAGUAUGUCAUAAUAUGUUGAACCUAUUAUGACGUACUUUUCUACCACGUCAUAAAAAGCAUAGACCUAUUAUGAUUACUAGAAUUAUGAUGUCAGGCCACCCAUCAUAAUAAGUCCUUUUUACCCGUAAUAAAAAGUGAUUUCUGCACUAGUGUAAAAAGUAGACUUUAAAGUAGAGCUGUCAAAACGGGUAACCCGGCUCGACCCGGUCCGGUCCACCACGGGUUGGUCACUUAGUGAGCCAACCCAACCCGGCUCAUUUAUUAGCGAGCCAGAAAAAUUUGAACCCGGCUCGACCCACCACGGGUUGGUGGGUAAACGGGUUAGCUCACUAGCCUAUUUAAUUACAGUUUUUUUAAAAUAAAAAAUUACAAACUUUCUAUAUUCAAAUUUAAACAAAUUUCACUCCUAAAAAAUGAUGUUAAACUGAAGACAAUUCAUAAUAAUAAUAAAAAGUACAAUAUAAUCCAAAUGUCAUCACUAGUGCAAAAGCGCUGUUUAACGUCACCCAGAAGACGUCGGUGUGCUAGUAAAACUAGCUUGGUAAACUAGACGUCGAUUUUAAGCUAAGGAGACGUCUAUCAUAUUGUAGACGUCCCCACUGCCGCAAACCGACGUCUAAUGGCCUAAGGUAGGUGAGAAGACAGUCUAGUGACGUAGGUGUUAACGGGCGCCGAUGUCUACUGGGCUGUAAUUAAUGCUCUUCACCUAAUUCCCAGGCGCUUAUACGUCAUGUAGUCAAAAGGCGACGUCUAAGGCCUGUCUGGAAGGCGGGAAGACAAAAAAUUCUUCAAUUUAGACGUCGGUAUUGAGGGGAAGCGACGUCUAUGUGCAUGUAAUUAAUUAUGUUCACCGAACUCGAGGGCCUUAGACGUCGGCUAAAAGGGCACCGACUUCUACGUUACUAUAGACGUCGGUGCCCCAUCACAACUGUCGUGAACAUCCUUGACAGGAAAUCAAACGUCAAUCGGUUCAGCUUCCUAGACGUCGGCUCCCCUCGAAACUGACGUCUAAUGGGUAUUCAAAAAGUCAUUUUAAAUGUUAACUUGAACGUCAUAUUAGUGAGAUAACCGACGUCUAGGUGACUAUAGACGUCGGUUUCUCGAGAGAAAUCGAAGCCGAAUUUCAUUUUAAAUAAACUGCAAACUCUUCGCGGCAUUCAGUUUCUGAUAUCGUCUUCCUCUUCUCCUUUUUCUCUUGCGACACCUCUUCUUUUUCUCGCUUGCGGCACCUCUUCUUUUUCUCUCUUGUGGCAUUCUAUUGUUGUUUCUGAUAUCUUUAUCGUCUUCCUCCUCUCCUUUUUCUCUCUUGCGGCAUUGCAUCCCAAGUGCGUGGUUUUUUUUUUUAUGCUUACCGUUUAAACUUUGUUUAGUCUUUCAUCGAUUAUCUUCUGGUUCAACUAAUUAAAAUUUGCUUUCUUUGUGUUGUGUUUUAGUGUAGUUUUGUUCCUUUCUUGGGGUAACGUAGUAGCACAUUCUCCAUUUGCUAGCUGCCUCCCAGAAAAAACGGCGUCUUGUGAAUUUCUUUUGGUCGUUUCAACCCAAAAACGACCCUGGGUCGUUGCCUAGUUAUCGUUUCACCCUGAUUUUUCCCUCUUGCGGAUGAAAAUGGAACUAAGCAACAACCCAGGUUCGGUUUUGAGUUGAAACGACUCAUAAGAAAUUGAAAAGACGAAAGCUUUUUUUUGGGGGAAACUAGCAAAAGGACAUUGUGCUUAAAUGAGAGACAUUGGUGAGAGAGUUGUGCUUAAAUGUUCAAUAUUUUGUUAGCUCUCUUGACUCAAGGAUUUUGCAUUCUAGAAAAACUAAUUUUUCUUAUUAGCCCAACCUCAUUACUAGCCUUGAAAAACUCCUUUUGAUGGCAUUUGCAUGUAAAGAUGUUGAUUGUUUGAGAUGAAUGGCAAUUUUGUUUCAUGUAACUUGUGAACAACAGAGAGUGGUGUGUCACCUUAAACACUUGAGUGAUUGAGUGAAACACUUGUUUGGUAUGAACUGUUGAUUUUCAUGAGUGCAUUUUUGCUUGGUGGAUUAGUCAUUCAUAAUGUAUAACAUCUGUUGUGCAAUCUCUGGAUUGAAAGCAUGCAUGCAUUUUAUUUUGGAUUUCACUGAGAAUAUUGAAUUGAGUAGUUUUGUCAUGUACCUUGGGAUUGUUGAAGCUUUGGAUGAAACAGUAUAAAGCAAAGUUUUGUUUUGUUUGUUGUUUUGUUUUGUUUUGUUUGAGGACAAGCAAAAUUCUAAGUUUGGGGUGUUGAUGAAGGUUGAAAAACAGUUAUUUUCAUAUGUCAAUUUGGACCGAAUUACGCCCUUUACUACUUGGAAUGAGCCUAGAAUCAAGCAAAACUCAAUAAAUGAGUCUGUAGAGAGUCAAAAGCUGUUUUUAGCGAUAUUAUGCUUGUUNNNNNNNNNNNNNNNNNNNNNNNNNNNNNNNNNNNNNNNNNNNNNNNNNNNNNNNNNNNNNNNNNNNNNNNNNNNNNNNNNNNNNNNNNNNNNNNNNNNNNNNNNNNNNNNNNNNNNNNNNNNNNNNNNNNNNNNNNNNNNNNNNNNNNNNNNNNNNNNNNNNNNNNNNNNNNNNNNNNNNNNNNNNNNNNNNNNNNNNNNNNNNNNNNNNNNNNNNNNNNNNNNNNNNNNNNNNNNNNNNNNNNNNNNNNNNNNNNNNNNNNNNNNNNNNNNNNNNNNNNNNNNNNNNNNNNNNNNNNNNNNNNNNNNNNNNNNNNNNNNNNNNNNNNNNNNNNNNNNNNNNNNNNNNNNNNNNNNNNNNNNNNNNNNNNNNNNNNNNNNNNNNNNNNNNNNNNNNNNNNNNNNNNNNNNNNNNNNNNNNNNNNNNNNNNNNNNNNNNNNNNNNNNNNNNNNNNNNNNNNNNNNNNNNNNNNNNNNNNNNNNNNNNNNNNNNNNNNNNNNNNNNNNNNNNNNNNNNNNNNNNNNNNNNNNNNNNNNNAUAUGUUUUGAUUGAUAAUUGUUGGGUUAUCAUCUGUGCUUAAGACCUUUAUCAUUUAACUCAUUUGGUAACUGAUGUUUGUCUUUAUUGAUAUGGGGACGUACAAUAAUGACAUGAACUAGUGAGUAAUUCCUUGAUUUUGCAAUACCACCUAGGGAUACGGGUAGUGUAACGUCCCGACAACUUAUAGGAACUGCUGACUACCCCCACAAAUCAACACGAGGCUUUCCAGUGUGCUUUGUCCUCACUCACACACUUUCCGAGAAAACUUCCCGGAAGGUCACCCAUCCCAUAAUUACUGUAGGCUAAGCACGCUUAACCAUGCAGUUCUUAUGAGUUAGGCUACCGAAAAGCAAAUGCAUUUGUUGAUAUGAGUAGUCAAAUAAUUCCUUUAAGCUAUCCUUCAACUGUAUAGUCCCAUACCUAUACAAUCUCCAAAUCCCUCUCAUUCCGGUGUAUGUUCGAUUCGUCCAUUGGCCCCUUCCACUCGAAGCCUGCCAGGAGCCGCUCCUUGUCUGUGCCCCCUGCACCAUGCUUCUUGCACCAGCGAUCACUCCCCGCCCUCGUCAGUGCCCGGGUGUCACAUGCCCACCAGCUUCCGUCUGGUUCGUCCUCGAACCACACCGUACUGGGAGAGGCUAGGCUCUGAUACCAUUUGUAACGCCCCGGCAACUUAGAGGGCCUGCUGACUGCCCCCACAGAUCAACACGAGGCUUUCCAGUGUGCUUUGUCCUUACUCACACACUUUCCGAGAAAACUUCCCGGAAGGUCACCCAUCCCAUAAUUAUUGUAGGCUAAGCACGCUUAACCAUGUAGUUCUUAUGAGUUAGGCUACCGAAAAACAAAUGCGUUUACUUUUCGGUAGCCUAACUCGUAAGAACUCCAUGCUUAAGCGUGCUUAGCCUAGAGUAAUUAUGGGAUGGGUGACCUUCUGGGAAGUUGUCUCGGAAAGUGUGUGAGUGAGGACAAAGCACACUAGAAAGCCUCGUGUUGAUGUGUGGGGGCAGUCAACAGUCCCUGUAAGUUGCCGGGGCGUUACAGGUAGGACGAUCAAUUGCUUUUAACUUCUAUUUAUAAGGCUGUAUUAAUUGCUAGGGGAGGCUAGGGAUAGCAAGCCAGUAGUUAAUAUUAGGCUUUUUUCGCCGAGGGAUCGGGUUAAGGGUAGACUAAGAAAGUUGCAUAACAAUUAAUUAAUCAAACUAAUAUUCAAGAGGAGUAGGUAAGAGAGAGCAGAUUAGAUGAAAUUGUAAACCCCCAACAACAUCCAUUCAUCCAUUGUUUUCUUUUGUCAAUUGAAUCAACUUUAUUUUGCAUGUUAAUAUUUUUGUUCUCAAAUCCAAUUUAUUAAUUUUUAUUUUCAAGUCUUAUUAUUUUAAUUCACGUGAACGAGAAAGUCUUUCGAGUCUCUUGGGAAAACGAUACUUGGUCUUACCAUUUAUAUUACUUGUACGAUUUGGUACACUUGCCAAUUUGUUAACAACCCGCAUAAAAAAAAUUCAAUUUUUUCAAACCCAAUCCGGCUUGAAUCCGUGAUGAGCCGAAUUAACUCGCGGAUUGUGACCCAUUUUGUCAGCUCUACUUUAAAGAUAACUAAAACGUACAAAAUCCAUAUGUGAAAUAAAUUUUCUAUUCUAUAUGAGAUUUCCACUUAGGUUCUACAAGUACACAUAUAGAAUAUCUUUUACGACUAUUGAAGAAGGAUAUCUAAACAUCAAUUACUAUAGGAAAGAAAAAAAUGAGAAUAAACACCUCGCAAUAUGAGCAAAAUAAUUUGAGAAAAGAUUGGUACCGCUAGAUUAUCCCAACCUUGUAAGAACAAAUCCAAUUUAUUUUAGAAAAAUAUAAGUAAUGUUUCGAUGCCAGGAAACAAGAAGGUUGCGCAUACCUUCGCCAAAACAAAUCAAAUCUUGCCUGGUUACAAAUUUAAGAGUAUUUAAUCUAGUUUUUUUUCUUCUAAAUUUAGAGUAUACACAUCGUUCUUGAACGAGUGGUUAUCUUAUAUAAAAAUUAAAUCCAAUGUUAAAAUUGUUAAUACAAUUGUUUAAUUUAAUUUUAUUAUUUCCACUUUUUACUGACAAACUAAUUCUGAAAAUUUUCUAGCAGCUCCAUUUUCUAUUUUAGAAUAUAUAAUUGCAAAUAAAUUAUGGAAAAGAUGAGAAAGAAGAAAGGGUGAGGACAUGAGUUAAGGGUAUGAGGACCUACUCAUAUUUAUUGAUAAUUAAGAAGCCACGUACAUUCACAAGAAAGGGACAGAUUUCUUGGAAAAUUUCAAUUCAAUUUUCGUGUUGUUUACUUCAUUAUGUACCCAUGGGUUUUGGCACCCUUUUCUUCAGAAUUUACUUUAUUUAUGUAUACUUUCAUAUAUAACUAUUUUGUUGGAAAAUAAAAAUCAAAUAAUAAUUGUAAAUUUCUUUAAUAAAAAUUUUAUAUCUUAUUUUAAAUUGUAAUUAUUUGGCGCAGUUUUUUUGGUUUUAAUCCUGGAUACAUCGAACAGUUUUAAUAGUCUUUGAAUGUUGAAAAGUCUUAAUAAAAUUUAUAACCGAUACAAAUAACAUAACUAAUUUUCUCUUCACUUCAAAUUUUUGACCUAAUUAAAUAGGUGAGGAAGGUGUCAAAGAAAGUUUGAAAAGGGACAGUGGAUGGAAACAUCAAUCGAGUGUAGACAUCAUGUCAUGGGAGGUGUGAAUAUGGAAAAAACUCAAGACUUUAUACUAAUAGACUAUGGGUAGCCUUGUAUUAUUAUUAAGCUAGUAAAAAUCAUAUGAGGAUAUUAACGUGAUGGUUGGUUAAUAUACUUUGUAAGUGAUUCAAUUAAUGAUACCUUUUAAUAGAUUAAUGGGAUAUAUUAUUAUUCUUAUACUAGUAGAAAAACAUUAUUUAACGUCGGUUAUUUUGGGCUUUUAACGUUAGAUCCCGAACCGACGUCUAAAGUGGGUGACGUUAAGGGGACGUCGGACCCUAUAGGUCAGACGUCUAUAUAGACGUCAGACUAUAUAGGUCAGACGUCUAUAUAGACGUCAGACUAUAUAGGUCAGACGUCUAAAAUGUUGUCGUAUUUGAUAGGAUUCUUCUCCGCUUGAGCCCUCUCAAGUUGCUCCUGUCUCAUGGUGAUUCGAGUUUACAACUUUAUAUUUUAGUUGAAGAGAA